GCGGUGGCGCUAGGUAGCGGGGCGUGCAGGCCGCAACGGAGCCGAGCGGCGGCGAUUGUUAGCAGCAGAAGCAGCAGGCAGGGGGCGGGAGAGCUGGCUAGGCGAGCGGCGGGCGUGGUGGCACGGGCGUCAACGCGGGCAGCGGCUGGUGGAUGCGGGUGCGGCCAGGCGCGGCGAGGCGAGGCAGAGAGAGGCAGGCGCGGCAGGUCAGCCCGGCGGGAUCCGUUUGUUGCGGGCGCGGACAAUUGUGGGGCGCGACCCUUGACGACAGCGGCCAGCGAUGGAACGGAGCAGGGAGAGAGGGGGAAGUGGGCGGCGGAGCUCACAGUGGUGCGGGGAAGAGGGGACGGAGAGGCUCGGUGGAUCUNNNNNNNNNNNNNNNNNNNNNNNNNNNNNNNNNNNNNNNNNNNNNNNNNNNNNNNNNNNNNNNNNNNNNNNNNNNNNNNNNNNNNNNNNNNNNNNNNNNNNNNNNNNNNNNNNNNNNNNNNNNNNNNNNNNNNNNNNNNNNNNNNNNNNNNNNNNNNNNNNNNNNNNNNNNNNNNNNNNNNNNNNNNNNNNNNNNNNNNNNNNNNNNNNNNNNNNNNNNNNNNNNNNNNNNNNNNNNNNNNNNNNNNNNNNNNNNNNNNNNNNNNNNNNNNNNNNNNNNCGGGGGAGGGACCGGGGAUGGUCGGCACCUGGCGGGGCGCCAUGGAUGCCCUCCACGAUCCCCCUGUGCUUCCUGUAGGAGGAGGAAGGGGAAAACAGGGGGGUUGUUGGCUGGGCUGUAGUGUUGCGCGGCUGGGCCAAGUGCACAGUGCAGCCUGGCCUUUUCUUUUUAAUUUUUCUUUUUAUUUUAAUUUCAUCAAUCCAUCCUGUUUUGCAAAUUUUUAGGCCACAAAAAUAUUUUUGUAAAAUAUUUAAUGGUGCCACAUAAUUACUUUGCAUUAUUAGCAUUGCCAUAAAAUGGUUUGGUAUUUAACACAAAUGCUUGUUAAUUUUUAUAAUUCAAAAGGCAUUUAAAUUGUUGCUUUAGCCACUGUUUAUUUAUUGUAGGCUAUUCAAUAUUUUAUAAGAAUGUGGUUUAUUCACCAAUAUUUAUAUGGAUUAUUGGAAACAUUUAGAACAUUUUAGUCUUAACAUUUGAAAACUUUUAUUGAUUGACUUUAUUUAAAAUUUGAAUUCGAACUGGUUUUGAAUCAAAGUGAGAUUAGGAACAGUAAUUAUGGUGACAUGGCAUCAUUAGCAGGGGAUUACUAUAGCUUAAUUACCCAGGCAUCACACGACAACCCGACAAGGCGAAGACCCGGCAAGCUCCGUCGCCCGCAGACCCCCACCAAACACUAGCGCUCCACCUCUUUGGCCAGCUGGUCGCUGGUCGGUGAGGUGUCGAGCUCGCAGGAGGUUAGGUGGAGAUCGCCAGUAUGUGGCAGCAUGUUGGAGCGAAGUUACCUUUAUCGACACCCGUCCAAGUAGUGUGUCAAGAUAAUAGGAGUUAGCUAUGGUAAGCGGUGCAAUAUCCUUGCCGGGGUUUCUCCCCCUUCCGACACCUAGCGGUGCAUUAAAUGCCUUUUAUCCUAACUAGCAGAGUUAGGUAUGAUAGCAUUGUUUGCUAUCUAAUCACUAUGUAAUGACUACUUUGCCACUGUGGUAUCCCCUUGCACUAUAAAAGGAUGACUAGAGCAACCAUUAGAGGGGUUCGAACCCAUACAAACUCACACGCACAUUUGCUCGUGUAGCUUCCUUCCCCACACCUUGCCGGGGAAGUGUGCUCCUUGUACUUGUGUUCCCACAUUCCCAAUACAACCAAGCAGGAGUAGGGUAUUACACCACAAAGGCGGCCCAAACCUGGGUAAACUGAUCGUGACGCCCUCUGCUCGCCCUGCUCUUUGCGUUCUGUGCUCUCCCCUCGCCGAACCACAAAGGGGCCUAUUAACCCCAUAGAUCAUGGGCCCACGCCCCGACAAGGCCCAAUGUUUGGGUAGUGUAACCUUAGACGUAGUCUUCGGCACACCCGUGAACUUUCUAAGUGAAGAGUUAAUCUUCAAUAUCGUACCCUUUCGAAGUGGUUAUCAUGCACUACUUGGGCGAACUGCUUUUGCUCGCUUUCACGUUGUCCCCUAGACUAUGCUUAUCUAAAGCUUAAGAUGUCGGCGCUAAAAGGUAUGAUUACAGUCAAUGGGAAUACGAAACACUCCCUCCAUACAGAGGAACAGACUGCGGCUUUCGCAGCCGAGGUAUAGGCCGUCGAGGAUGCAUUAAGGGCCCGAGCUGUGUCAAGAUGACAGGGCCAAAUGAAGUGAUCGAGAAGCAUAAAAUUCUCCUCGGGGCAAUUAGCUGGCACCCUUAAAUAGGGACACUCGCUUCACCGUCCCCUCCAUAUGUCCGAAGACAAUGUUCCUCGNNNNNNNNNNNNNNNNNNNNNNNNNNNNNNNNNNNNNNNNNNNNNNNNNNNNNNNNNNNNNNNNNNNNNNNNNNNNNNNNNNNNNNNNNNNNNNNNNNNNNNNNNNNNNNNNNNNNNNNNNNNNNNNNNNNNNNNNNNNNNNNNNNNNNNNNNNNNNNNNNNNNNNNNNNNNNNNNNNNNNNNNNNNNNNNNNNNNNNNNNNNNNNNNNUAGCAAAGCAAUCAAUAGGGAACUACUCGGAUAAACCGAUGUGUGUCUUGAAGCCCCUGGAAAUCAAGUCGCGCCCUGUUCUAAAUCAUAUGUGUCUCGACCGGGGGCUGGCUACCAGCUUCAAGAUGAUUCCAAUAAACCUUCGCCGAUAUCAACUUAUCAAAGUGAUCGCCACUAAAGUGCCUUCAAGCAAAAAAGGGCGUUACUAGCAGGUGGAGGCGAAUGUCAUCGGAUUCGAUGAGUAGGCGAUGAUCAAUAACAGGGGGGAUGCAUGAAAGGAGGGCAGCGGCAGGCGUAAACUAGAUGGCCAGAGUUCGGCAUAUUUCCUCCUCGGUCAUCUUUUCUUUUUUCCCAAAUUGUAUCUUUCAAAGUUAUAUAUACAUAGCUUGGAUUAUUAGGUUUGAUCCUUUUAAUGAAUAAAGAUAAAAGACUUGACUGGUCGGGCCAUGUGUACACUCAUGGUGUAUUCUUUUUCCUCUUUCUUGAUUCAUACACCAAGCAUUAUUCUCGCGAUACAAAACCUAGAUGCCUUUACAACACCAUAAAAUUUAAUGGGGCUGCAUUUUGAAGACGAGUCCACCCAAACGCCUUGGCACUAUAUCAUGUCCUCGGCCUCACGUCCUCGGUACUUCACAUUCAUAUGCAUCGAUUUCAAGUUGUGUCAUUGGUCAAUAGCUGGGUUGCCCGGCUCCUGUGCUUAACCCUUAUGUUUCCGCUCUAUCCGACUAGUGGGUAAAGGGAGCACACCCGUGAUUGUUACUUCUGGUUUAACCGGUCAAGUACCUUAGUUGGAGAAAGGCAAAACAUGACUGUCACAACAUGCGUAAAAUGUCGGUGAACCGUAGGCGGUGUUAAACUAUAUAUAGCCAAUGGCGGUUAUCCGAGUAAAACAAAGGACUUUGUUUUUUCAAACAAGUCAAAGUUUGGGUGUUUCGACCUCGGUUGAUCCGAGAACUCAAUAUAUAUUGGGGGGCUAUUAAUUUGCCCCCAAACAAUGCUCCUAAGACUAAGUGUACUCUUUAGCCGUAUGGUCUGAUUGCCUUGUUUCUACUGAUACAACUGCUUCCGGGUACCGAGACGUUGGCUAAUGGUUGCAUAUAAGAAAGAAACACCCUAAGUAGCAUAUACUAAAGGACCGAAGCCGACGACUGGCCAACUACUCCUUGGAAGAGUCAUAGUUGAGUCAAAAUAAGCAUAAAACAUAUAAAGGGAAGGGCAUUUCUCAUUAAAAAUAAAACUUGUCCUUCUACAUAUAUACAUCUCGGCAUAUCCGAGGAAGAAUAUAAAAAAUUGUCAGUCAAGAUUCUCUAGAACCAUGUCUCUCGUGCACUUCCGCUCAGACACCCGAGUAGCUGGCAUCUCCCCAUUAUAGUAGAACCUGGCCUCUCGUUUCUUCCCCUCUGGACAGUGUUGCGCUAUGGGCUCCAGAUCAAGCUUUGUCCACCACGUCUACACGGCCGCAAAUGCCUCUCGAGCACCCUCCAUGCAAGCUGACUGCUUCCGCAGCUUGACUUGGGCGACAACGCCUUUGGAGGCUGAUACGUCUCAGUCAUAAUUUUGAUUGUUUCAUGACAAUAUUCUACAACUUCCACAUACUUUUGGGAACAGUUUAUUUGAUUUAUUGGACAAACAUAUUGAUCCAGUGCCAGUUCAUGUUUGUUGCAUGUUUUUUGUUUCGCAGAAUAUUGUUGGGGAACGUAGUAAUUUCAAAAAAAUUGCUACGCACACGCAAGAUCAUGGUGAUGCAUAGCAACGAGAGGGGAGAGUGUGUCCACGUACCCUCGUAGACCGAAAGCGGAAGCGUUAGCACAACGCGGUUGAUGUAGUCGUACGUCUUCACGAUCCGACCAAUCAAGUACCGAACGCACGGCACCUCCGAGUUCAGCACACGUUCAACUCGAUGACGUCCCUCGAACUCCGAUCCAGCCGAGCUUUGAGGGAGAGUUCCAUCAGCAUGACGGCGUGGUGACAAUGAUGAUGUUCUACCGACGCAGGGCUUCGCCUAAGCACCGCUACAGUAUUAUCGAGGUGGACUAUGGUGGAGGGGGGCACCGCACACGGCUAAAAGAUCAAACGAUCAAUUGUUGUGUCUCCAAGGGGUGCCCCUUCCCCGUUUAUAAAGGAGUGGAGGAGGGGGGAGGGCCGGCCCUCUCUAUGGCGCGCCCUAGGAGGAGUCAUACUCCCACCGGGAGUAGGAUUCCCCCCUUCCAAGUAGUAGGAGUAGGAGUCAAGGAAAGGGGAGAGAGAAGAGAAGGAAGGAGGGGGCGCAGCCCCUCCCCCUAGUCCAAUUCAGCCCCUCCCCCUAGUCCAAUUCGGACUAGGCCUUGGGGGGGCGCCCAGCCUCUCCUCUCUCUUUCCCCUAAAGCCCAAUAAGGCCCAUAUGCUCCCCGGCGAAUUCCCGUAACUCUCCGGUACUCCGAAAAAUACCCGAAUCACUCGGAACCUUUCCGAUGUCCGAAUAUAGUCGUCCAAUAUAUCGAUCUUUACGUCUCGACCAUUUCGAGACUCCUCGUCAUGUCCCCGAUCUCAUCCGGAACUCCGAACUACAUUCGGUACAUCAAAACACAUAAACUCAUAAUAUAACCGUCAUCGAACUUUAAGCGUGCGGACCUUACGGGUUCGAGAACAAUGUAGACAUGACCGAGAUACGUCUCCGGUCAAUAACCAAUGGCGGAACCUGGAUGCUCAUAUUGGCUCCCACAUAUUCUGCGAAGGUCUUUAUCGGUCAAACCGCAUAACAACAUACGUUGUUCCCUUUGUCAUCGGUAUGUUACUUGCCCGAGAUUCGAUCGUCGGUAUCUCAAUACCUAGUUCAAUCUCGUUACCGGCAAGUCUCUUUACUCGUUCUGUAAUACAUCAUCCGCAACUAACUCAUUAGUUGUAAUGCUUGCAAGGCUUAAGUGAUGUGCAUUACCGAGUGGGCCUAGAGAUACCUCUCCGACAAUCGGAGUGACAAAUCCUAAUCUCGAAAUACGCCAACCCAACAAGUACCUUCGGAGACACCUGUAGAGCACCUUUAUAAUCACCCAGUUACGUUGUAACGUUUGGUAGCACACAAAGUGUUCCUCCGGUAAACGGGAGUUGCAUAAUCUCAUAGUCAUAGGAACAUGUAUAAGUCAUGAGGAAAGCAAUAGCAACAUACUAAACGAUCAAGUGCUAAGCUAACAGAAUGGGUCAAGUCAAUCAUAUCAUUCUCCUAAUGAUGUGAUCCCGUUAAUCAAAUGACAACUCAUGUCUAUGGCUAGGAAACUCAACCAUCUUUGAUUAACGAGCUAGUCAAGUAGAGGCAUACUAGUGACACUAUGUUUGUCUAUGUAUUCACACAUGUAUCAAGUUUCCGGUUAAUACAAUUCUAGCAUGAAUAAUAAACAUUUAUCAUGAAAUAAGGAAAUAAAUAAUAACUUUAUUAUUGCCUCUAGGGCAUAUUUCCUUCAGUCUCCCACUUGCACUAGAGUCAAUAAUCUAGUUCACAUCGCCAUGUGAUUUAACAUCAAUAGUUCACAUCACCAUGUGAUUAACACCCAUAGUUCACAUCAUCAUGUGACCAACACCCAAAGGGUUUACUAGAGUCAAUAAUCUAGUUCACAUCACUAUGUAAUUAACACCCAAAGAGUACUAAGGUGUGAUCAUGUUUUGCUUGUGAGAUAGUUUUAGUCAACGGGUCUGUCACAUUCAGAUCCGUAAGUAUUUUGCAAAUUUCUAUGUCUACAAUGCUCUGCACGGAGCUACUCUAGCUAAUUGCUCCCACUUUCAAUAUGUAUCUAGACCGAGACUUAGAGUCAUCUAGAUUAGUGUCAAAACUUGCAUCGACGUAACCCUUUACGACGAACCUUUUGUCACUUCCAUAAUCGAGAAACAUAUCCUUAUUCCACUAAGGAUAAUUUUGACCGCUAUCCAGUGAUCUACUCCUAGAUCACUAUUGUACUCCCUUGCCAAAAUCAGUGUAGGGUAUACAAUAGAUCUGGUACACAGCAUGGCAUACUUUAUAGAACCUAUGGCCGAGGCAUAGGGAAUGACUUUCAUUCUCUUUCUAUCUUCUGUCGUGGUCGGGCUUUGAGUCUUACUCAAUUUCACACCUUGUAACACAGGCAAGAAACUCUUUCUUUGACUGUUCCAUUUUGAACUACUUCAAAAUCUUGUCAAGGUAUGUACUCAUUGAAAAAACUUAUCAAGUGUCUUGAUCUAUCUCUAUAGAUCUUGAUGCUCGUAAGCAGCUUCACCGAGGUCCUUCUUUGAAAAACUCCUUUCAAAUACUCCUUUAUGCUUUGCAGAAUAAUUCUACAUUAUUUCCGAUCAACAAUAUGCCAUUCACAUAUACUUAUCAGAAAUGCUGUAGUGCCCACUCACUUUCUUGUAAAUACAGGCUUCACCGCAAGUCUGUAUAAAGCUAUAUGCUUUGACCAACUUAUCAAAGCAUAUAUUCCAACUCUGAGAUGCUUGCACCAGUCCAUAGAUGGAUCGCUGGAGCUUGCAUAUUUUGUUAGCACCUUUAGGAUUGACAAAACCUUUUGGUUGCAUCAUAUACAACUCUUCUUUAAGAAAUCCAUUAAGGAAUGUAGUUUCGACAUCCAUUUGCCAGAUUUCAUAAAAUGUGGCAAUUUGCUAACAUGAUUCGGACAGACUUAAGCAUCGCUAUGAGUGAGAAAAUCUCAUCGUAGUCAACACCUUGAACUUUGUCAAAAACCUUUUUCCGACAAGUCUAGCUUUGUAGAUAGUAACACUACUAUCAGCGUCCGUCUUCCUCUUGAAGAUCCAUUUAUUUUCUAUGGCUUGCCGAUCACCGGGCAAGUCAACCAAAGUCCACAGUUUGUUCUCAUACAUGGAUCCCAUCUCAGAUUUCAUGGCCUCAAGAUAUUUUGCGGAAUCUGGGCUCAUCAUCGCUUCCUCAUAGUUCGUAGGUUCGUCAUGGUCAAGUAACAUGACCUCCAAAACUGGAUUACCGUACCACUCUGGUGCGGAUUUCAUUCUGGUUGACCUACGAGGUUCGGUAGUAACUUGAUCUGAAGUUACAUGAUCAUCAUCAUUAGCUUCCUCACUAAUUGGUGUAGGAGUCACAGGAACAGAUUUCUGUGAUGAACUACUUUCCAAUAAGGGAGCAGGUACAGUUACCUCAUCAAGUUCUACUUUCCUCCCACUCACUUCUUUCGAGAGAAACUCCUUCUCUAGAAAGGAUCCAUUCUUAGCAACGAAUGUCUUGCCUUCGGAUCUGUGAUAGAAGGCGUACCCGAUUGUCUCCUUUGGGUAUCCUAUGAAGACACAUUUCUCCGAUUUGGGUUUGAGCUUAUCAGGAUGAAACUUUUUCUUAUAAGCAUCGCAACCCCAAAUUUUAAGAAACGACAACCUUGGUUUCUUGCCAAACCACAGUUCAUACGGUGUCGUCUGAAACGGAUUUAGAUGGUGCCCAUUUUUACGUGAAUGCAGUUGUCUCUAAUGCAUAACCCCAAAACUAUAGUGGUAAAUCUGUAAGAAACAUCAUAGAUUGCACUAUAUCCAAUAAAGUACGGUUAUGACGUUCGGACACACCAUUAUGCUGUGGUGUUCCAGGUGGCACGAAUUUGUGAAACUAUUCCACAUUGUUUUAAUUGAAGACCAAACUCGUAACUCAAAUAUUUGUCUCCGCGAUCAGAUCGUAGAAACCUUAUUUUCUUGUCACGAUGAUUUUCCACUUCACUCUGAAAUUCUUUGAACUUUUCAAAUGUUUCAGACUUAUGUUUCAUCAAGUAGAUAUACCCAUAUCUGCUCAAAUCAUUUGUGAAGGUCAGAAAAUAACGAUACCCGCCGCGAGCCUCAACACUCAUCGGAUCGCAUACAUCAGUAUGUAUUAUUUCCAAUAAGUCAGCUGCUCGCUCCAUUGUUCCGGAGAACGGAGUCUUAGUCAUCUUGCCCAUAAGGCAUGGUUCGCAAGCACCAAGUGAUUCAUAAUCAAGUGAUUCCAAAAGCCCAUCAGCAUGGAGUUUCUUCAUGCGCUUUACACCAAUAUGACCUAAAUGGCAGUGCCACAAAUAAGUUGCACUAUCAUUAUUAACUUUGCAUCUUUUGGCUUCAAUAUUAUGAAUAUGUGUAUCACUACGAUCGAGAUCCAACGAACCAUUUUCAUUGGGUGUGUAACCAUAUAAGGUUUUAUUCAUGUAAAUAGAACAACAAUUAUUCUCUAACUUAAAUGAAUAACCGUAUUGCAAUAAACAUGAUCAAAUCAUAUUCAUGCUCAACGCAAACACCAAAUAACACUUAUUUAGGUUCAACACUAAUCCCGAAAGUAUAGGGAGUGUGCGAUGAUGAUCAUAUCAAUCUUGGAACCACUUCCAAUACACAUCGUCACUUCAUCCUUAACUAGUUUAUGUUCAUUAUGCAACUCCCGUUUCGAGUUACUACUCUUUAGAAACUGAACCAGUAUCAAAUACCGAGGGGUUGCUACGAACACUAGUAAAAUACACAUCAAUAAUCUGUAUAUCAAAUAUACCUUUUUUCACUUUGCCAUCCUUCUUAUCCACCAAAUACUUGGGGCAGUUCCGCUUCCAGUGACCAGUCCCUUUGCAGUAGAAGCACUUAGUCUCAGGCUUAGGUCCAGACUUGGGCUUCUUCACUUGAGUAGCAACUUGCUUGCCGUUCUUCUUGAAGUUCCCCUUCUAUCCCUUUGCCCUUUUCUUGAAACUAGUGGUCUUGUUAACCAUCAACACUUGAUGCUCUUUCUUGAUUUCUACCUUCAUCGAUUUCAGCAUCGCGAAGAGCUCGGGAAUUACUUUCGUCAUCCCUUGCAUACUAUAGUUCAUCACGAAGUUCUACUAACUUGGUGAUGGUGACUAGAGAAUUCUGUCAAUCACUAUUUUAUCUGGAAGAUUAACUCCCACUUGAUUCAAGCGAUUGUAGUACCCAGACAAUCUGAGCACAUGCUCACUGCUUGAGCUAUUCUCCUCCAUCUUUUAGCUAUAGAACUUGUUGGAGACUUCAUAUCUCUCAACUCGGGUAUCUGCUUGAAAUAUUAACUUCAACUCCUGGAACAUCUCAUAUGGUCCAUGACGUUCAAAACGUCUUUGAAGUCCCGAUUCUAAGCCGUUAAGCAUGGUGCACUAAACUAUCAAGUUGUUAUCAUACCGAGCUUUGUCAAACGUUCAUAACGUCUGCAUCUGCUCCUGCAAUAGGUCUGUCGCCUAGCGGUGCAUCAAGGACAUAAUUCUUCUGUGCAGCAAUGAGGAUAAUCCUCAGAUCACGGAUCCAAUCCGCAUCAUUGCUACUAACAUCUUUCAACAUAAUUUUUCUCUAGGAACAUAUCAAAAUAAACAUAGGGAAGCAAGAACGCGAGCUAUUGAUCUACAACAUAAUUUGCAAAAUACUAUCAGGACUAAGUUCAUGAUAAAUUUAAGUUCAAUUAAUCAUAUUACUUAAGAACUCCCACUUAGAUAGACAUCCCUCUAAUCUUCUAAGUGAUCACGUGAUCCAUAUCAACUAAACCAUGUCCGAUCAUCACGUGAGAUGGAGUAGUUUCAAUGGUGAACAUCACUAUGUUGAUCAUAUCUACUAUAUGAUUCACGCUCGACCUUUCGGUCUCAGUGUUCCGAGGCCAUAUCUGUUAUAUGCUAGGCUCGUCAAGUUUAACCUGAGUAUUCCGCGUGUGCAGCUGUUUUGCACCCGUUGUAUUUGAACGUAGAGCCUAUCACACCCGAUCAUCACGUGGUGCCUCAGCACGAAGAACUUUCGCAACGGUGCAUACUCAGGGAGAACACUUGUACCUUGAUAAUUAGUGAGAGAUCAUCUUAUAAAGCUACCGGCGAACUAAGCAAAAUAAGAUGUAUAAAAGAUAAACAUCACAUGCAAUCAAAAUAUGUGACAUGAUAUGGCCAUCAUCAUCUUGUGCCUUUGAUCUCCAUCUUCAAAGCAUCGUCAUGAUUUCCAUCGUCACCGGCAUGACACAAUGAUCUCCAUAAUCUUGAUCUAUAUCAAUGUGUCGUCACAUGGUCGUCUCGCCAACUAUUGCUCUUGCAACUAUUGCUAUCGCAUAGCGAUAAAGCAAAGCAAUUAUUUGGCGCUUGCAUCUUAUGCAAUAAAGAGACAACCAUAAGGCUUCUGCCAGUUGCCGAUAACUUCAACAAAACAUGAUCAUCUUAUACAACAACUUAUAUCUCAUCGCGUCUUGACCAUAUCACAUCACAACAUCCCCUGCAAAAACAAGUUAGACGUCCUCUAAUUUGUUGUUGCAAGUUUUACGUGGCUGCUACGAUGUUCUACCGACGCAGGGCUUCGCCUAAGCACCGCUACAGUAUUAUCGAGGUGGACUAUGGUGGAGGGGGGCACCGCACACGGCUAAAAGAUCAAACGAUCAAUUGUUGUGUCUCCAAGGGGUGCCCCCUUCCCCGUAUAUAAAGGAGUGGAUGAGGGGGGAGGGCCGGCCCUCUCUAUGGCGCGCCCUAGGAGUAGUCCUACUCCCACCGGGAGUAGGAUUCCCCCCUUCCAAGUAGUAGGAGUAGGAGUCAAGGAAAGGGGAGAGAGAAGAGAAGGAAGGAGGGGGCGCAGCCCCUCCCCCUAGUCCAAUUCAGCCCCUCCCCCUAGUCCAAUUCGGACUAGGCCUUGGGGGUGGCGCCCAGCCUCUCCUCUCUCUUUCCCCUAAAGCCCAAUAAGGCCCAUAUACUCCCCGGCGAAUUCCUGUAACUCUCCGGUACUCCGAAAAAUACCCGAAUCACUCGGAACCUUUCCGAUGUCCGAAUAUAGUCGUCCAAUAUAUCGAUCUUUACGUCUCGACAAUUUCGAGACUCCUCGUCAUGUCCCCGAUCUCAUCCGGGACUCCGAACUACCUUCGGUACAUCAAAACACAUAAACUCAUAAUAUAACUGUCAUCGAACUUUAAGCGUGCGGACCCUACGGGUUCGAGAACAAUGUAGACAUGACCGAGAUACGUCUCCGGUCAGUAACCAAUAGCGGAACCUGGAUGCUCAUAUUGGCUCCCACAUAUUCUACGAAGAUCUUUAUCGGUCAAACCGCAUAACAACAUAUGUUGUUCCCUUUGUCAUCGGUAUGUUACUUGCCCGAGAUUCGAUCGUCGGUAUCUCAAUACCUAGUUCAAUCUCGUUACCGGCAAGUCUCUUUACUCGUUCUGUAAUACAUCAUCCGCAACUAACUCAUUAGUUGCAAUGCUUGCAAGGCUUAAGUGAUGUGCAUUACCGAGUGGGCCCAUAGAUACCUCUCCGACAAUCGGAGUGACAAAUCCUAAUCUCGAAAUACGCCAACCCAACAAGUACCUUCGUAGACACCUGUAGAGCACCUUUAUAAUCACCCAGUUACGUUGUAACGUUUGGUAGCACACAAAGUGUUCCUCCGGUAAACGGGAGUUGCAUAAUCUCAUAGUCAUAGGAACAUGUAUAAGUCAUGAAGAAAGCAAUAGCAACAUACUAAAUGAUCAAGUGCUAAGCUAACGGAAUGGGUCAAGUCAAUCAUAUCAUUCUCCUAAUGAUGUGAUCCCGUUAAUCAAAUGACAACUCAUGUCUAUGGCUAGGAAACUCAACCAUCUUUGAUUAACGAGCUAGUCAAGUAGAGGCAUACUAGUGACAUUAUGUUUGUCUAUGUAUUCACACAUGUAUCAAGUUUCCGGUUAAUACAAUUCUAGCAUGAAUAAUAAACAUUUAUCAUGAAAUAAGGAAAUAAAUAAUAACUUUAUUAUUGCCUCUAGGGCAUAUUUCCUUCAAAUAUCCAUAUCAAAUGAAGUCCAAACGCGAUAAAAAUUUACGGAGAUUUAUUUUGGAAUAUCUGUGAUUUUUUGGAAAAAGAAUCAACACGAGAAGAUACCCGAGGGGCCCACAAGCUCGAGAGGCAUGCCCCUUACCCUGGGCGCGGCUAGCAAGCUUGUGGGGCCCCUGUAAGGUAGUUGGUGCCCUUCUUUCGCCGCAAGAAAGAUAAUAUUCAGAAGAAAAUCGUGUUAAAAGUUUAGGCCAAUCGGAGUUACGUAUCUCCAUAAAUUUAAGAAAGGGUGAAAGGCCAGAAAACGAAAACGCAGAAACAGAAGAGAACAGAGAGAGAUCCAUCUCGGAGGGGCCCCUCCACCGCCAUGGAGGCCAUGGACCAGAGGGAAACCCUCCUCCCAUCUAGGGAGGAGGUCAAUGAAGCAGAAGACUGAGGGGGGGCUCUCUCCCCCUCUCUCCCGGUGGCGCCGAAAUGCCGCCGGGGCCAUCAUCAUGACGACGAUCUACACCAACAACUUCGUCGCCGUCAUCACCAACUCUCCCCCUCUAUGCAGCGGUGUAACACGUCUUCUCCCCACUGUAAUCUCUACUUAAACAUGGUGGCCAACGCUUUAUAUUAUUAUCCAAUGAUAUGUGGCUAUCCUAUGAUGUUUGAGUAGAUUAGUUUUUUCCUAUGGGUUGAUUGAUGAUCACGAUUGGUUUGAAUUGUAUGUUUUAUUAUUGGCGCUGUCCUAUGGUGCUCUCUGUGUCGCACAAGUGUGAGGGAUCCCUGCUGCAGGGUGUUGCAAUAUGUUCAUGAUUUGCUUAUGGUGGGUGGCGUGAGUGACAGAAGCACAUACCCGAGUAAGUGGGUUGUUGCGUAUGGGAGUAAAGAGGACUUGAUACUUAAUGCUAUGGUUGGGUUUUACCUUAAUGGCCUUUGGUAGUUGCGGAUGCUUGCUAGAGUUCCAAUCGUAAGUGCAUAUGAUCCAAGUAGAGAAAGUAUGUUAGCUCAUGCCUCUCCCUCAUACUACCUCCGUCCCAAAAUAUAAGAACAUUUUUAACACUAGUCUAGUGUUAAAAACGUUCUUAUAUUUUGGGAUGGAGGGAGUAUAAAAUUGCAAUAAUGAUUACCGGUCUAGUGAUCGAUUGCCUAGGGACAAAUAACUUUCUUGUGACAAAAAGCUCUCUACUAAAAUUAACUUAAUUGUUUCUUUAUCUAAAUAGCCCCUAGCUUUUAUUUGCAUGUUCUUUAUUAUCUUGCAAACCUAUCCCUUUACACCUACAAAGUACUUCUAGUUUCAUACUUGUUCUAGGUAAAGCAAACAUUAAGCGCGUAGAGUUGUAUCGGUGGUCGAUAGAAAUUGAAGGGAAUAUAAAUUCUACCUUUACCUCCUCGUUGGGUUCGACACUCUUACUUAUCGAGAAAGGCUACAAUUGAUCCCCUAUACUUGUGGGUUAUCAAGACCUUUUUCUGGCGCCGUUGCCGAGGAGCAAUAGUGUGAGGUGAAUAUUCUCGUGUGUGCUUGUUUGCUUUAUCACUAAGUAGAUUUUAUUUUCCGUUUUAAGUUGUUCUCUCUCUUUAGUUGUGGAUACGGAACACGAAAUACCAAAAAAAAAUAGGUCUACUUGCUACUCAUAGGGAUGGGGAACCUCCUAAAACCCUCGAUGCUUGUUAUGUGAAAAAUAUUAAACACUACUUUGAUAAUCCAGAGAAAACCCCAUUGAACAUGAUAAUGGGAGACACGUUGUAUCAAUGUGAAUACUUUAGGGAUUAUCGCUAGACUCAAAAAGGGAAACUCUUAUGGGAUCAAACUGAGAUGUUACAAUGGUAUGGUUGGAAUUUAUGCUUGAGAUAUGGUUAUACUUGCUGCUCUAGGAUGAAGGCUCCACACCUUUCCUUUUCAUGUGAAUUUAAUAAUAAUGAAACCUUGGCUUCUUAUGCUAAUGGUAGAUAUGAUUACUAUGAUGUGGAACGAAUAGAAGAAUUUUUUGCUUUUAAGGGUGUGCCUAUGAGAUUGAAUCUUUGUUUAAAAAGUAUGAAGAUUUUGAUGAUGUUGUUUAUAGACCUGGAAAUUUUGCUAUACUUAAAUAUUGUCAUGAGAAUUACAAAUACAAUCAUGAUAUUGAUGAUUUUAUUGAGAAAGUCUCCGCUAUCCAAGAAGAGACUAAUAUUUUGCUGGAAUCUAUGGAAGAAGAAAUUGAUGACACUGUGAGCUCGUUGGAUGAAAAAGAUGAGGAGGAGGAGAGCGAAGAACAAAAGGAGGAAGAGCGGAUUGAUCACCCGUUCCCACCUUCUAAUGAGACUAACUUUUCAACUCAUACAUUGUUUAAUUUCCCUUCAUGCUUACCGAAGGAUGAAUGCUAUGAUAAUUGCUAUGAUCCCUUGGAUUCGUUUGAAAUAUCCCUUUUUGAUGAAAUUGAUGCUUUGCUAUGCUUGUGGCCAAGAUGCCAAUUUGAAUUAUUCUUAUGGAGAUGAACUUGCUAUAGUUCCUUAUGUUAAACAUGAGAUUGUUGUUAUUUCACCCACACAUGAUAGUCCUAUAAUCUUUUCGAAUUCUCCCAACUACACUAUAUCGGAGAAGUUGGCGCUUAUUAAGGAUUAUAUUGAUGGGUUGCGUUUUACCAUUACACAUGAUGAUUUUGAUAGAUAUAAUAUUCAUGUGCAUGAUGCUCCUACUUGCAAUUAUUAUGAGAGAGGAACUACAUCUCCACCUCUCUAUGUUUCCAAUACAAUAAAAUUGCAAGAAACUAUUUAUGCUAUGUACGGCCUUUACUAUGUGUGCAUGAAUUGUUCUUUUAUGACAUGCCGAUGCAUAGGAAGAGUGUUAGACUUCGUUGUUGCAUGAUAUAUAUAUAUAUAUAUAUAUAUAUAUAUAUAUAUAUAUAUAUAUAUAUAUAUAUUACUUUUUGCUCAUUACUAAAAUACAAAAUCAUUGUUAAUUAAAAUUGGCUUUGAUAUACCUUGGGAUCCGGGUGGAUCAAUUACUUGAGCACUUUAUGCCUAGCUUAAUGGCUUUAAAGAAAGCGCUGCCAGGGAGACAACCCGGAAGUUUUAGAGAGUCAUUUACUUCUGUUGUGUGCUUUUAUAAAGUUUAAAAACAAAAAAAAUAGAGGGGAACUUAAAAACUUUUUCGAAAAGAGAAGCGAUUGGAAGGUUAUGCAUUGGAGAAGUGAGGGUCGACCUUGAACACUUGUGUUCAUGCUCAUGGAAACAAAGUAGAAUUUUUCAUGGAGGUUUCUCACAAAAAUAAUUAUCCCCUUGUACAGAACCAUUGUAUUAUAAAAAUAAUGUGCCAAGAUUUGCCUUUAGGAUGAUUACAUUGCUUGUUUGGUAUGUGCAGUGCAAAAACAGAAAGUUUGGCUGUAGUGCGUGAAUUUAUAAUUUUUUUACUGGAACGUCAAAAGUUUCUAAAAAAUUUACACAGUAAUUUCAUGCAAUUUUUUAUUUUGUCCUAAUUUUUCAGAAUGUUUAUAUUUAUAGAACUAUGGUCAAUGUUCAGAUUACUACAGACUGUCUUGUUUUUGACAGAUUCUAUUUUUUGAUGCAUUGUUUUGCUUGUUUUGAUGGAACUAUGGAUUGUAUCGUUGGUAUAAGCCAUGGAUAAAUUAGAGCAUAGUAGUUAUAAUGCAAAAAUAAAAUAUGAAUGGGUUUGCAGCAGCACUUAAAGUAGUGAUUUGCUUUAUUAUACUAACGGAUCUCACGAGGGUUUUGUUAAGUUUUGUGUGAUUGAAGUUUUCAAGUUUUUGGUGGGAUCGGGAUGGAUCAAGGAAUAAGGAGUGGCAAGAGCCUAAUCUUGGGGAUGCCUGAGGCACCUGAAGGUAAUAUUCAAGGACUCCCAAGCAAGUAAUCUUGGGGAUGCUACAGAAGGCAUCCCCUCUUUCUUCUAACGACCAUCGGUAAUUUUACUUGGAGCUAUAUUUUUAUUCGUCACAUGAUAUGCGUAAAUUAUUGUAGUGUCUUUUGUGUUUAUUGUUCCCUUUUCUUUUAUGCACCAUGUUGUUGUGAGAUACUCCUUGGUUGAUUUAUAGAAUGCUUCUCCCUCAUAUAAAAUUGCAAUAAUGACUACCGGUCUAGUUAUCGAUUGUGUAGGGACAAAUAACUUUCUUGUGACAAAAAGCUCUCUACUAAAACUAACUUAAUUGUUUCUUUAUCUAAACAACCUAGCUUUUAUUUGUGUGUUCUUUAUUAUCUUGGAAACCUAUCCCUUUACACCUAGAAAGUACUUCUAGUUUCAUAAUUGUUCUAGGUAAAGCAAACGUUAAGCAUGCGUAGAGUUGUAUCGGUGGUCGAUAGAACUUGAAGGGAAUAUAAAUUCUACCUUUACCUUCUCGUUGGGUUCGACACUCUUACUUAUCGAGAAAGGAUACAAUUGUUCCCCUAUACUUGUGGGUUAUCAGAGGCGCUGAACCAGCCCAAAGAAGUUGGUCGGCAGAGGGGAGUUCGGCCAUAGAGAGAUACGUAAAUCCUCCAUGGCAGGCUUGGUUGUUCGGUGGAGCUCGGCAAGCUGCUUCAUCUGGUCGCCGAGGAGUCGAGGGUGCUGCUCCUACUAGAAUUGCAUCCAGAAGCCUUCUAUUCAGCCGUGUCCUAUUGGCAAAGUACUAGCACGCAUGCUCGACAUUGCGUAGAAGUUCCGAGAAGGCGCUUGAUAAGCGAGAAUUUUGCGUCAGCUCGAAGAAUGCUUGAUUGCUGAAGAUAUACUGUAGUAAAUACAGCUUACCGAAAGCAAUAUUUGUCACCUCUGAAGUUCCUCCUUCGCCGCUUUAGCAAGGGAGGAAGCCUCUUGAUGUUCUGCCGCAAGCUUUUUGAGCUUGGCGACAUCCUUCUUCUUCGAGGCCUUCAGCGCUUCACUUUCAGUAAACACGCUCUUUAGGUCCUCCUCAAUCUCAGAAAACCGAGCUUGAGCAUCUCGCCGAGUCUUUUGUUCCUCAGCAAGCUCUUUGGUACUUUCCAGCACCGCAGCCUUUUGUUGCUCAGUUCGACCAAGCCUUGUCAAGCUCGGCCCACUAUAUGGCGAGGUCCUUCUUGGUCGCUACCAAAAUUCAAAGGUGGAGUCAGACCAAUAAAUAGAAUUGUUUGGUAGUUAAAUAAAUAGUAAGUGCACCAAAUUUUGACCUUGCGCUUUCUCCAUCUGCUGUUGGAGCAGAUGUAAAUCCUCCUUGGAUCGUGCUAGCUUGCGAUUCAUUUCCUCCAACUCUGCUAAGUUGGAGGUAGAGGACGAGGUGGAAGCCUGCGUGAAAAAGCAAAUAGCUGAUAAGAGUUCAAGCAUAAGGAUCGAUCCUCUAGUCGGCUUUUUCAAUCCGACCAAGAGUCUUAGGGGCUACUGCAUAUUCGCGUUACUUAAAGAUAAAAAAACAUCAACCCUCAAGCCAGUUUGGGUAAACUAACUAAAGGCUCGGCAGCUACUACAUCUGCACUUUCAAAAGAUAGAAUCUCAUGCAUGAUUUCAAGAUAUAAGAUCUAUGUAUUUCAGACGAUGUUAACAUUCUCCUUGAGGGCUAUUGGCUAAACUUACUAUAUUAUUCAAGCAAUGAAAACAAGAGAAAAAAACAAAAUUACUUAAAAUGUGCUUAUCUCAAAACCUUUGCAAGGCUGAUGAAAACUUCCAGAUUGUUGGCCUCAGCUGACUGGAAUGUUGGGAGUCCCGGGCCAAGUAUGGCAUGGUGAUCGGGUAGGAGGGAGGAACUGCUUAGAGCCGCCUCCACCUGCCGUCUGUGGCCUGGAAGCUCGGCCCCUCCAGGGCCGAGCACGGGUAAUGACGUCCUCCCUGCAUCAUCCUCUGUUGAUGGGGCAAGGGGUGUUCCUGGUAGGCCCUGUGACUUUGAGUCAUCGGGGCCGAGGAUGCUGGGCACUAGGGUGCCAGCUUUUCUUGACCAGGGGGAGUUUGCCUCCCCCAGUUCCCCGUGUUCUCCUCUACAGAUGAUGAUUUAACCUCGGCUAUAAGGACUUUGGUCACUCCCCCGUCCUUGGGUGUUGGAGGAACAGAGUGAGAAAUGGCCUCCCCCAACCCGCCUUGGGCAAGGGGAGGAUCAGCUGAUGCAUCCCAGGAUCUCCGGGCCAGUGAAGCCAUUAGAGCUCCAUCAUCGGAGUCAUCCUUGCUAGGCAGUUUGUGCUGGGGGCUAUGAAAGACAAGUAAAAUUCAUGGGCUAAAGGCGUCUUUCAAGUUAAAGUGGAUAUGAGUAUUAAGAAGGUUAAAUACCUUUCAGGAUCCGGAUGCUCCCUAUGAUGGCAGACUCCUUUGGUUGAGCCCGAGCUGACCGUCUCCACGGGCGCUGACGCCUGGCCCGUUGGAGCUGUACGGGCCUUUCUCGGAUGCAUGAACGUUCAACGAGGCUUGAAAUCCUUAGAUGCCCAUCUUUUCUCGCCUUUGGAGAAGUGCACCUCGAUCUCCUCCUUUUCGUCCUCCUCCUCAUCAGACUCGGAGUGAGAACUCUGAUGACUAUAUGUGAAAGAAUCUGAGGUGCCUUCUCGGAUGACCAUGUUCUUUGUCCUAUUCUUCCUUUCCUCCUUCGUCUUGACCGGGACCUCAUAAGGGUCCUCAGAAAGUAUCUUCUCGAGCUCGGGGGUCCUGGGACCUUCUAGGAGCGGUGUCGGGGACUUCAUCUUCUCGGCCCGCGCAUACCAAGCCUGUAUGAAAGGCAUAAAGUUGACCCCUCGGUUAAACAGAGGAUAGGUGGUGGAAUUAGUUAGUAAAUUGCAAAUAAAAGUUACCUUGACCAUGGGGUUUGCAUGGCUUAGUACAAUGUCUGUGUCCCUGGAUGGGAAGGUGUUCUUCUUGGGCUUGAACAAGAGCUUGCACAUCCCGCCGAAGUCAUUUCCUCGAAAGAACUGUUGGAUCACCGCUUUGUCCUCUGGCUUAUACCUUCACAUCGGAGUAGCUCGGACCUGGAGGGGAAGAAUUUGGCGAUGGAGCAUCACAUGGACUACGUCCACCAGAGUGAUACCUGUGCCCACAAUGGCUUUGAGCUUGUCCUGGAGCACCUUCACCUCCUUUUGGUCCCCUAGUUGAGAUUCUUGUCAGUCCAGAGUGCAGCCUCCUCGACGGCUUCGAUGAGAAGGUAGGGACCUCUGGCCAUACGAUAUUGGGGAUCUUACUGAUCAUGGCCUCGCCACACUUAGGAAGUUUAGACUUGCUGCUAUGCGGCUUGAUGCUGAAUACCUUCAGCCAUAGCCCAAAAUGGGGCUUGAUGCAAAGGAAGGCUUCGCAAAAAUUUAUAAAGGUGGCAAUAUGAAGGUUGGAAUUUGGGUCUAGAUGAUGAAAAUCUAGCCCAUAGAAAAACAGAAGUCCCCUGAGAAAGGGGUGAAGAGGAAGUCCUAGACCUCAGAUCGGGUGGGAGAUGAAGGCCACCCACUCCCCUUUCCAGGGAGAAGGGAUGGCGGAAGCUGAGCGGACUUCACUCGUAUGCAUCGGGGAUCAACAUUUGGCCAUGAUGGGAAGGUACCCAUCGGCUUGGAGCUCGGUGAUGGUACCAACGGUGACGUUGGAAUGCUGCCAUUGCCCCCUCGUACUGGCGGCCUCAGACGCCAAAGCGAUGGGCCCCUUUCCCUUGCCGGCCAUCUCUCGCGAUGGAGAAGAACGUGGGGAGAAACUUGAACUAGAAACGGAUCUCGAAGCGCUUGAGCUUAUGGGAGUUCUAGGCGAUGGAGCAGGGAAUGAGAGCAUAUGUAAAAUCUAAUUACCGUUCCCCUUUCAUAGGUCAGUAAAAGGCCAAGGGCCUCCACGCCGCACAGUAAAAAUCGCCAGUUCCCAACAUAUCCUAUAGUAUAUGCAUGCAAGGAUUAAGGGAUUUUAUUGAUGAUAUUGCUAGAAAUCUGAAGCUUGAUCUUUUUAUUGAUGGGAUGUGCCAAUAGAAAUGGCCUCGGGGCACGACAUGCCCAAUAAUAAAUAUUGACAAGACGAUUCAGCUCUGUGAUGAGUGGUGAUGGUUCGGUUCUCAGCCGAUUCCAUCACUACAUUUGACCACCACAAAUGCCCAAAGAUUUGGACCAUAUCCUGAAAUUUUUGAGACUAAAAUGUAUGGGUGGAAAAUAUACUUCCUUCACAAAGUGAUUUGGUGGAAUUUUUUGGGGGAAUUUGUGGAGGGAGUUGCAGGAAUUCGGUGAGGCUAAAAAUUUCUUGAUAGACUUUAUGGCUAGGUUUGGAUGCAUGCAAAAUUUCUGCUUCAUAGGACUAAGACACAAUGUAAUUGCUUCACGGGUCACGGAUCUGUCAAAAACUCUGAAUGGAUGGUCUAGUUAACAUUUUGUUUAUAGGUCUUGGUUUGAGGGUGGAAGUGGUUCAAGAUAUUUGUAGGAUAAUCUCUACAAAUAAUUUGGGGGUUUGUGGUGCAAGGGAAAAUGUAGCUCCUUCACAAAGCUUCAACUAGAACAGGAAUUUGGAACAUUUGUGGGUGGACAAUAUUGCAUAAGACAUGGCAAUAUUUUGUGGAUGUGUUGCUGGUAGGUAUUGGUUAGUCUCUAAAAAAAUUUGUGAGGCCAAAAUGUCAAAGGAAAAAGGAUGCCUAGUGCAAAAAUGGUCUCUAGGAUUUAAUUCAAAAGAAAUUGAAAUUGGGGUUUUAGAGAUAAAAUGUUGGGGCAAAGUAACAAGGCAAGUUCAUCAUAAAUAUAUACACACCAAGUUUAAGAAAAUCCAAGAACACCAUAAGAAAAAGGAAGAAGCUAAAACUCAAAACUUGCAAAAAGAAUUUUCAAGGAGUGAAAAUCCAGGGUUUGAAAAAUAUGAUGAAGGUGAAAUAUGUCGGUAUCCACGUAGUUAGGUUAAGAUCAUUUUGUUUUUCCUCGAGAGGAAGGGAAAAAUAAUAGCUCUUAUCUCAUCCGAGAGGCAACAACACAAUUUGUGAAAUACUUUAUAAUUUUGUAAGACUAAACUUGUCCCUCCCAUGAAAACGAUGCAACUUCGUUCAGCUGGUACAUGUUUCCUUCAGGUAGAGUGUGAACUGCUCGCAAUAGCAUCGGACAGGAUGAAGCAAGUCAUCGGGAACUGUCCCAGUCAUGGAAUGCACGACUGGUUAGCCUUUCAAACCUUCUAUAUUGAUUUAAAUUGCAUAUCCAAGAAUAUGCUCUAUAUGCAUGCAAGCGGUGCAUUAAUUGGACCAUGAUUUUCAGAAGCUAAGAAAAUGAUAGACUAUUUGACAUAAAACCAUGAACAGUGAAUGUGGAGAGAUCGUCCUCGACAACGAAAGGUAAAUAAUUAUCAGAAGCCAUACGCUAAACAUGUAGGUAAUCCCAUUGGCUACAACAAUGGAAAUAGAAAUGGCAAUCACCAAAGCCUAGAUUAGACAUUAAAAAUCUGGCACUACUCAAACUGAGAAAAAUAAUUCCUUUUUUGAACUAAUUAGAACUCAUGACUCAUGGUCAAGUCAAAUGGCCAGGAAAAUUGGUUACACAUCUCAGUUGAAGAACUUGCAGGAAAUGAGUCGUAAUAUCAAAGUCCAAAUCAGUAAAAUCGCUGAGAUUCAGGCCCUAUUUGUUUCAGCUUCGAUUUCUGCCAAAUCAACCAUCGAUUUGCUUAACUAGCAAUCAGCUUUGCCACUGAAUUACACCAGGACAUCCUUCAGGAAAAUACACUGAAAAUGGCCUAAAUUGGAUUCGGGCUUCACUAUCAAAGUUAAUUCAAAAUAGUUGUUUGCUUCAAAUUCCAAAGAUGAAUCUGGUCCCAAAAGUUGAAACAAAUAGGGCCUCAGACUUUCGCUCUAGCCAAGUUUGCUAGGAAGCCUAAGCCGAAACCGGUGGAGUCACUGAAGAUACUGAAUGCAAACAAAGAUCUCUCUGGGUAAGAAUUGGAGUACAAAGAGUCACCAACCUUCGGAUACUCUGCUAAGAUUUUGUUAGCAAGAUGAUUCUGUAGCAGCCAAUAAUAAAAAUCCAAGAAGACGAGGAUACCAAGAUUUCAUAAAGAGAGUUACUAUGGAUGUCAGAUACGAGUACUGCUCCCAUCACUGAACUAACUCAAGUUUUUUCUUUUUUUUCUCAACAAGCAUAUUAAAUAACUAGUCCUUUGAUACAACGCUAGAGGCAAAUUUAUUAAAAAUUGAAAGGGGAGUACAAGCCAGAAUUGGUAAAGUAAGCCCCACAUAAAUUCGAGAAUCACUAUCACAAACAUAAGGAUCCAUGCUGAAUAAGGUAUACCGAUCAUAAAGAUCACAAUAUUCUUAGAUCACACUGAAUAAUAUGUCCUCUCAUCUUUAGAAUCAAGAGCAUGGUCAUUGUCGGAGCUCUCAUAAUAUUACUAGUCGCGGCACUCAUUAUCCCACUUGAGCGUUGUGAUCUUGAUCCUAGUGAAUUCCGCCCGCAAGGCAUGCUCAUCAUUGGAGCCAAUCAAGAAACAAUACUGCAAGCCAAGAACUUCCAGGACAGGGCAGCUCUCAAGGACAGCGGUCAAUUUUCUCACGAUGAGGUCAAUGUUUUCAAGUUCAAGGGAAUGCAGCUCCAGCAGAGGUGACUCUUUUAUAACAUUGGCGAGUUGUUUGCUGAAGACCCCGAAGCAUGAUACAAGCCGAAGGGUAGUCAGUGAGGGUGACCUGCAAACAUUAAUAUUAGGGCAAUCUUUCAUAUGACUGGAUGUGGGGAUGAUGGUGUGAAGUGGAAUUUAUGGUCCUGCUAUAUUAGCAAUAUUUAGACCCCCCCCUCUUUUUAUUCACUUUAUUACUUCUAUUCUAAGCCCUGUCUGGUUUAUUCUUAUGAAAUACCAUAUAAAAUAGAAGGUAUAAUAAAUGGAUAUAAGGAAAUUCCUGACUCAAUCUUAUGACCUAAUUAUUUGAUUAAUGGAUCAGUAACCAAACCACCCAUUUAAUGAAAAGGAAGGAGUGUAGUCUUAUUCAAAUUCAAGGUCCUUCAUAGUAAGCGCUAUAGCAUUGUUUUCAAUACUCAGCGGCUUGGUCAAACCAAGCUUCCCCAAUUUUUUAAUCAACUUGUAGAAUGGUAUAUUCUCCUAGGUCUGAAUAGGUAGUUCCUUCCCUUAUAACCAUACUUAGUGUCUCCUACCUCAUACAAUUCUAAAAUCGUUACAUUAGUUUCCCCUAUCGUAAUUGAAUUUGAUUAAUGAACUUCUAGAGAUCCUGGUGAAUGAAUCAUAGCAUGAUGGACAUCUGAAUUUGCCUAUUGAUAAUUAGCAUACUAUGAGAUAUCCUAUUAUCCAAUAUGUAGAUUGAUACACUUAUUAUCAUGCCUGCACAACAAGAGCAACUAUCACGUCUAAUGAAUGUUCUAAAGAUUUUCCCAGAAUUUACUGGUUUGAAAGUCAACUAGAACAAGUCCUCAUUGGUCCCAAUUAAUAUAUCUGAUGAAAGAGCUAUGUUUGUGGCUAACAUUCUUGGUUGUAAAAAAGAAGUUAUGCCUUUCAUCUAUCUUCAACUCCCUAUGGGUUCUACUAGGCCUAAAGUGGAUGAUCUUAUGUGUAUCAUGUCUAGAAUUGAGAAAAUACUAUCCGGGGUUGCUUCAAAGAUAUCAUACUCUGGUACGUUUGUACAUCUAAAAGCAGUGAUUUCUUCCCUCCCCAUCUUUGUCAUGUGUUGCAUUAGAGUACCUUUAACAAUCCUAUAUACCACUUUCAAAAAGUUGGCAGAAGUUUAUUUGGUAUGAAAAAGGAAUUAAUAAGCAUGGAAAUUGUCUGGUAAAAUGGGAAAGUGUAUGUCCUCCCAAAAAGGUUGGUGGCCUGUGUGUUCUUGAUCUCAGAACACAAAACAGAGCUCUGCUCACCAAAUUCUUAUACAAGUUUUUCAACCAGCAUGGUAUACCUUGGGUUGAGUUUGAUUUGGAAUACAUAUUAUAAUGAUGGUGAGGUGCCUAGCUAUCCCACUAGAGUUGGAUCUCUUUGGUGGAGAGACUAUAGUUCUAUAUUCGAGGAUUUCAAGAACACGAGCAUCUAUAAACCUGCUUCUAGAAACACAGUCAAACUCUGGCUUGAUAAGUGGAAUGAUGAGACUCUUUAGGAAAGAUUCCCACAGUUGUUCUCAUAUGCCAAAGACAUAAACAUCCAUGUGCCAUUGCAUACAACUAUGUUGUUGAUGACUUUUAUGAUAUGUUUCACCUACCAAUCUCAUCCAUUGUUGUCCAACAGAACACAAUAAUGUGGAACAUUUUAAAUGGAAUGAUUAGCAACAAUAGCAAAGACACUUGACACUUCUAUUGGCAUAGCAAUAAAUAUUCCAACAAUAUAAUAUAUCUAGAACUUAUUGGAAAUCUACCUGAUGCUCCAAAGCCUUUCCAAUGGAUAUGGAAAUCAUGCAGUCUUCCUAAAUGGGAUUUUUUCUUUUGGCUACUAUUACAGGACAGGUUAAAUACCAGAGUCUUCUGAUAAGAAAUAACUUCCACAUUGAAACCAAUAAUUGUGUUUUGUGUGAUGAUGAGCCUAAUGAGCACCUUAUCUCUUCUUCAAUUGUGAUUUCAGCCAAUGUUUUUGGCUUGCUCUAGGUUUUGAAUGGAACAGUAACUAUGAUAUUGUAGAGAUACUCAUGGAAGGGAAAGGGAGAUACUCAAUUCACUGUUUCAAAGAAUGCCUCAUUGCUGGCUAUUGGAGUAUUUGGAAGCACAUGAAUAGUAUUUAUUUUGACAACAAGAUCAAAAUAUUGGAAAAAUACAUAUGAUGCUUCAAAUCUCACUUUGAUACAAUCAUCAAGAAGGCCAAGCUAGCUUAAAGGAAUGGAUACAAUGUCCAAGAAGACUAUUUGUGAACCAUUUGUAACAUUCUAUACCUAAUGUAUAGCCAUUUGUACAUGUCCCACAAAUAUUAAUGAAAGAGAGUUACAGUAGGGACUCCCUACUGUUCUUGCUAAAAAAACUGAAUCUGAUUUAGCAAAAACUAAUCCAAUUUGUUGUCGGGUUAAGCAGAAGAUAUUAAUUACCUAAGUGAAUUUUUUUGCUGACACAUCUUUAAUAAGUUAACAAAAUUUUGAGCAUAAUAAAUCAAGUAGUAAUGGAAGAAAAAUACCUUUCCACGAUAUACUUGAUGAGCUCAUCAGUGACAAACAGCCUCCCGGCGAACUCCCUGAGCUGUCCGUCGGAACGGUCGACAGCUGCCUUCGCCAUCUGACACAGGACACCAUCGCCCUUUAGAAGCACAACCUCGUGUUUGUCCAUGUCGAUAGAUCGCCACACCUCCGGCAACUUCGCCGCCAUGAGCCAGGAGUGACACACGAGGCCGGCGCCCAUCAGGACGUCGACGGCGCCGAGCCUGACGAAGAUCAAGGACAACGCAUCGAGGGGCAGCAACGACCAGUCCAUGGUCGGCGGCGCAACAUCGUCCAUCGACGAUAGAUCUGGGAGUGGGGAGUUGGAAACUGAAAACAGUAAUUGUCAGAGCGUCUAGUGACCUUUUUAAUUGUUGAUUGAUGAGGAAGACUAUCAAGGGGCCUACUUUUUCUUUUUGUUGAGAAAACCAGGGGCGGUCUCUCAUGUUCUCGGCCUAACAACGUGCCAACCUCGGGACGGAAUAAGGUACACACCUUCCUCUUUGGUGCUUAAGGUAGAAGGCAACUCAUAUAAUUCUUUUUCCCAUCGGUUUUGGAACCUUUUAGAAGAGUCCUAUGGUUUUGGCCGGUUUCUCUCUGGGGUUUUUUCCGGAAAGUUUUUGUUCUCGUUCUUUCUUUUUAUUUUUCUUUCUCUUUUCUUUUUGUUUUUCAUUUUUUAGUCGUUUUUUCUUUUCCAUUUUUGUUUCCUUUUUUCUUUUGUGUACAUGAACAUUUUCAAAUUCAGGAUCAUUUUUUUAAUGUAUGAACUUUUUAAAUUUUUGGGAAUCUUCUUUCAAACCCACAAACAUUUUUCAAAUCCACACAAUGCAUGAACUUUUUAAAAUUUAGGAACCUUUUUUCAAAGCUGUGAUCAUUUUCAAAUCUUUGAACAUUUUUUAAAUCCAUGAACCCUUUUCAAAUCCAUGUUUUUCAAAACAUUAUGCUUUUUCAAAUCCGUGGAAUUUUUUCAUCAUUGCGAACUUUUUCUCAAAUGCAUGAAUUUUUUUUCAAAUGUGCGGACAUUUUUCAAAGUCAUGAACUUUUUUCAAAAUUCAUAAAAAAUAUUUUCUAACUUUUAUAUUAAAUAUGUGAAAUCUAAACCAGGGGAACAGAAAAAUCUAGAAUAAAAAGCUGGAGUGACCGACCUACCUACGGGCAGAUGAACUGCGCGAGAAAACUUGACAAGGUUGACCUUGCAAUGCUCUCUAACGGAAAUAAUCACUAUGAGAAGCUAAAAGGCCAGUUAGAUUUGAUAUUUCUCAUUGUCUACAUGCUAUAUUUCUUCAACUACAAUCCUUUUGCAUUUUAGAUAAAAUAUUAGUUCUUUUUUGUGGGGUAAAUGUUUGUUCUUUUUGAAGUAACAUGUAAUUUGUUCCUUCUUAAUAAUUAAUGUUGGGACCUAGCUACUGAUAAUUCAACCCAGAGCCCGGGCUCGGAUGAGCCUGGUGAACAGUACCACGAUUUAAAAAGGAAAAAAGUUUUAGAAAAUCCAAAUUUUUUUGUAGUGCAAGAUUCUCCUGUGCGUGAACUCCGUGCAAAAUUUUGUGAAGUUUGGACAUUCGAGGAGCUCAUGACAAAAAAGAUAAAAUCAGGCGUGAACAGUGCGAUUUUCAAAAGUUUCUCAGACAUCCAAAAUUUGUCUUUUUUCCACGAGCUCCUUGAACGUCCAAACUUCACAAAAAUUUGCGUGGAGUUCAGGCACAGGUGCAUCUUGCACCACAAAAAAAUUGAAACUUUUUGAACUUUUUUUCCUCUCAAAUCAUGGUACUGUUCAUGCCCGGGCACCAAAUCGCUGCUCUCCCUAGCUACUUUUCUUUUUUUUUUUCUAGAACGGUGUCGUACUGAUUUGUGGCUGUUGUUGCAACACUUGGUUGCUUCAUGUUUGAUCGUCUCAAACCCGGUUUCAUAUUCUUAAAAUACAGUAGGAGUUCCCAUCAGAGUUAUAUGUUAUUAAUACAAAUAACUCAAUUUGUAGUUACAUUUAUUUAGCAUGGGAUAGGUAAUUUACACAUACUCAUUGUUCUCCUGUGUUCAUCGCCUAAUCAAAUUUCCUAUAAGGAGAAUAAUUGAAUAUCUUUUCUUUACAACAAAGUGAUACAGUAUUAGAUGAAUCUAGGUGAAAUAUAUGUGCUACUUCAUCAUGAUGCAACUCAAACCUCACAGUGGGUACAUGUUGUAUGUUUUAGGGUUACAUUGUAGCAUGACCAUGUUUUUUGCCUCCCAGUAAAAAGGUUCUAUUAUCAAGUGGCAUCAUUCAGUGUGAAUUAAGGUAUUUUUCUUCGUCAGACAAUUUGCUUGAGUGGAAGUUGUCUUAAGAAAAAAAGUAUGAUUGGUUGAAACAUAGAAAGUUAACUUCUAAAAAUUGCCUGAAUGUAGUUUGCACAGUAUGGUUCUUUUUAUUUGAAAGACCCAGCAAAUUGUUGGCUUGAUUCAUAUUUAGAAAGAAGCAACGAAAGAAUAACAUGGUGAGGACCUGAAGAUCAAAGAAAAAUGGAAAGGAAACGCCAACCCUAAUGGCUGCGGUACAACACUACACUCUCUGGUGGAUCACCAUCCACUCACAACAAGACGUCGCAGCUCUGACUCUAAUAAAGAACUACGAAGGAGAACUAGGCAAGUUGGCAUCGUAGGAGAUCACCGAACAUACCACUUGUCGCCUGUCAUCAUACUCCACUGGGGUCCCCACCACUGGAACUUCCACAUCACAACAACAAACAGCCGAGGCAACCCCACAGACACGCCGAAGAAGAGCCGGCUAUCCAAACCAAUGCCACAUCUCUGACAUCGCUCACCCCGCCAUCGUUGCCACAGAAGCCUAGCCUCCCACAUCGACAGACAACCGAACCCAAUACCGUGCAUGUCAAAUCCAUAAAGAAGUACCAAAGGGACCAAGAUAUUCAAGACAGUGCUCCAAAGAGGGGAAACGACACUGAAAGCACCGCCGCCGCCCGACACUACAAUAGGAUCUAGAAUUUCGCCCGAAGAUCUCGAUCUGGGAGUUGAGAAUGUACAUAUCUCCCCACGGUCCCUCCAAGGAGGAUAAUAGUGCCCACAAGCGUCAUCGCUGCCAGCCAGCAAGCACUGGCCAAGGCUUUCACCCGGAGCAGCACAACCACCACUCUCACGCAGCCGGCAGAGCCGACAAGGGCCUCCACUAGACCACGCAUCCCCAACGCAGUGAGCAUGCCAACGCUGCGCAGGGUCUGGCGGGUCUGCCCGCCCCACCGCACGCAUCCUCCUCCAGAACGAGCCGAACCCAUAUCUGGCUUCCGCAUGCCUAUGGCAGGUAUAUAGCUUUGUCCAAACGCCUUAUCAUCUGAUCUUGCUCGUUUGUUGCGACCUACAGAUCUACCUAGAUAACUUCAAAGGAUCCAAUAAAUGCCCGAUAAGUGGUGACACAAUGCUUUUACAAUUUGUGUGAAGCAAGAAGCCUAGAAGCGACAAGGUUGCAAACUUCUCAAGAGAUAAAGUGAACCUUGAAUGGGAACAUUUAAAAUUUUGCAAUCCAAAUGAGCAUAUCUACAAGCAUGACACGAGAAACACAACAUUACUAGAAAUGUCUUUUGAGUUCCGAUGGAGGUACUAUCAAAGACGCAGUAGUAAGCAAGGUCAAAAAGGCAUGUUUGUUUCGGCUUUAGUUGGCUUCAAAUCACCUGCAGAUUCACUUCAUUGAAGUACACAUGAACGUGCUUCAAGCAAUUGUACUGAAAAUGGCCUGAAUCUAGAUUCAGAUUCACUUGCAAAGUUGAUUCCAAAUAGUCAUUUGUUUCAGCUUCUGAUUUUUUUUUCUAUGGGAAUCUGCUGCCUAAAGCUGAAACAAACAGGGCCUAAAGUGUGGUGCCAAAUCUCAAAUUUAACAUCAGGUAGCAGACCUUAAAAUGAAUUCACCAUAAAUAAAAAACCUAAUCUUGGGGUGACAAAAUAAAAAGGAAAACAAUAUGCAACAAAACAUGUCUCAAUAACAAUCUGAGAUCGACUAAUGUUAGACACGCUUCAAAGAUAAUAACUUACACGUAACACUGCAUGUAUUCUCAUAUACAUGAAUAAUAAGGACCAUCUACAGACCAGACUCUCGUGUCACUCCCCCGCAGAGCGCCCUGGGAGCAAACCUAGCCGCCGUACUAGUUACCAUCCCACCAUUGGCCUCCCUUGCCGCCGUCAGCAGGCACCGUCGGGCAAAGCCCGCACGGCGCGGGCAGCCGUGGGGCGCUCCUUUCUACCUCCGAUGGGUUUGAGCGGGGCGGGGCGGCUCGGCCGGUGGAGGCGCGCGGGUGGCAUGGUGCCUGCGUCUGGGCGGCGCUGUAGGUGGGCACUACACAGGCGACACAUUCGGCACAGACCUGCUGGGUGUGGGCCCUUGAAGGCUACAAUGGUUGGGUAUGCGCCGGUGGCGCACCAACCGGAUCAGGCGAGAAGAUGAGGCGUGGGAGCCUCCGGAGUGCGUGUGGUGGGGGUUGGCCUUGAUCUGUGUUUUAAUGAGGGCGCGGGUGGUGCAAUGGGCGGUGUUGUAGGGUGACGGCUUGAUGCGCGGCUGCCGGCCAGCGGAGGAGGUUCCACCAGCUCUGCCGCCUAGCGGCCGCAUUCGCCCGAUGUCAUGGGGAUGGGCACCUUGCUAGCGCGUGGAGUUGCCAGCACCGGUGGCUGACCACGGAUCUGGGUUGCGCAGCAGGUUUGAUCUGGACCAUUAGGGUGUCUCCGAUAGAGCAUCUGGUGUUGUGUCGGCAGGCCUCAGCGGUUGCUUGGGGCCAUGGUGAUGUUGUUGGUUGCGGUGGGGGCUAGGUGUGGAGGUGUUGGCCGUUUCUGACCGUGGUGUGGUGGGGCGCGGCAAGGCGGCUUCUUCUGCGAGGUGUUGUGGUGGCGGCGGAGUGACAAACAUGGAGGAUGGUGUGCCUCAUUCCGGUGGGUAGUGAUGCACGUGCGCAAUGUUUCAGAUGAAAGUCAUGCCCAUAUCUUCGAUCGGUGCCAACGACGACCUUGGGUGUUGUUUCCCCUUCUUGAAGGCGUCGCUACGAUGAGUCGGCACCUUACUCUCUCUCUCACUUGUCUGGUUGUCCCCGAGCAAAAACAUAGGUUCGGAUCCGGACCGGCGAUGGCGACGUCCUUGACAUUGUCCCUAUGUUGGGAGCAUUGUUUUGGAGACAUGCGUCCUUUUCUGAGUUUCUUCGGUAGUCGCUGCGGUUCUGGAUUGUUCAUCAAAUGCGUUAUGUAUAUCUUCAGGGCCGUCUCCAGGAAUUCAAGACCCAGUGUGAAAUGCAAAUGAGAACCUCAAUUUUGAAAUAAAUAAAUAGCUAAAUGUUAUUUUAUAAUAUUUAAAAAUAUAGCAAAUAUACCAACUAUCUUCCCGUAAACAAUUCAAAAAAAUGAGGAAUGGAGCAUAUAGCAAUUUUAUUUAAUUAACUGGAGAACUGGCGAACAUGUCCGGCAAAUAUUGGAAAAGAAAAGCACACCUGAUAGCCAUGAGGAGUGGUCGGUGAUGCACUAAAUUAAAUCCCCGAAUCGAUGUGGCCGUAGCUUUGGUACUAAGUCGCUGGCUGUCUUGUCUAAUUUGUGCUUGGCGGCGUUGGCCCCUGCUAAGCCCUGAUUCGCGCUGAUUUCUGGUCUAAUUUGUGGAAUGAAUUCAACCGUUGUGGCUAGACGCCCUGAUUUGCGACCGCGCCAACGCCAAGUAGAUUCGAUCAAGUCCGCCAGUCGGGGGAAUCGUGAAAGAUUAGAAAGGAAGCGAAGAAGACGCAACUGAUAGGGAGCAACAAGGCUGAUCGGAAGGGUGUUUCGGAGAGGGCUCUUUUUUGGAAGGUGGUUCGGUGUUCGGGAGAGGUUCGUCAACAUUGUGGAAACAAAGGAAUGACCUAGGCCCAACAAAAUCUGGGGCCCCUGAAAUUUUGGGGCCCUUUGCGGUCGCACAGCCCCGCACGGGCCCUUGACGGCUAUGUAUGUCGUCGCGGGUAAGUCCAAGACGAUGACUUUCUCGAGGCUGUCCGAGUCCCGCCAAUUACCAGUACACUUUUUUCGACAAACAAUGAUGGUUGGUGUGUCGGCAAGGAGAGAUCGUUUGGAGUUGUUGCUUUCUGGAGGUGACCAGCGUUGGUCGAGACGCGGCUUUGUUGAUCAGUUUAGGAUAGGUCGUUUAGUAAUGAAGUUGUUUUGCGUGUGUUUGAGUUGGAUUGGUGUUCACUACUCACCGACAUAUGGUGGGAGCUUGACUGUGUUCUUCUAUUUAACCCUCUGGCUUCUUAAAGUUAAGGCAUGCAAUUUGAGUGAUCCAAAAAAAAAUCAGUGUAUGUGAAAAUUCUAGAAUGGGACGGAUGUUAAAGUGACCAUCAUGUGCGUUACAAUUAAACGCAUGUUUCAUUAGAAGUGAAAACCCCCUUGUUAAUUGUCAUGUGGUUGGCAACCGACACGCCUCUCCCUUCACUUUCGCUAACAACCGGCACUCUCGGGAUGUCUUGUAGCAAAUCCAAUCAAUGAGAACAACUAUUCUACUACUUGUCAGUUGCCUCUUGCAAUUAUUAUAUGGAUAGGGCAAACACAUUAUAUCUUUAUCUGCCGGAUUGUACUACACAUAUUACAAAAUACGCAGCACAUGUUGCGUAUAAGAUGUUCGUCUUUUACAUGACAAACUUGACACACUCGCCUUGGUCAUCCAGAUGUUGGGUUGAAACCGAAACUAUCAGCAAUUUUAUUGAUUAUGACUAAAUGAUGCUAAAUUCUAACAAUAUUUGGAUUUUAUGUGUACUACAUGACACAGGGAAGCUGAUUUUUAAGACUUGCGCAUCUUAGAGUCUAUGCUGAACCGCUCAGACUCCUUGAAUGCAUCAAGUCGAGGUAAAUGACUCUUCCCAACCAUUGACUAAACUAUUCCCAACGGCGUUUCCUAAUAAGAAUCGGUACAUCGCAGCAUCAAUCCACGUCGAGCGUUAUUGGGCUGGGCCAUUAUGGUUAACAGCGGGUGUGAUUUUUUGGGCCCUGUUUUUGUACUGUGUUGGUUUCUAUCGGUAUUUUGGGGGUUUACCGAUUUUCUUUUGUCUUCACCAUUUUUUAGGUUUUCUCUUUUUCUUUGUUUUUUCACCGGUUUUCUUUGUCUCUUUCAUUGUUUUUGUUAGUUUUUUCUUCUCUUUUUUACUUUGUUUUCCUUAGUUUCUUUUUUGGUUUUACUAUUUUUUUUCUUUCUUUCCUCGGUUUCCUUCUUUUUUCUUUGUUUCUUCUCGGGUUUCACUGUUUCCGUUCUUUUGCAUUUGGUUUGUUUGGUUUUCAUUUCCAUUUUUUGGUUUUCUUUGUUUUCUCUUUUAUGUUUUAUUGUUUUGAUGUUUUAUUUGUUUCAUUGUUGAUUUUUAUCGGUUUAUUUUUUUUCAACACAUGUAAACUUUUUUCUGGUACACAUUACAUAUUUAUUGUAUAUAUAAGGAACAUAUAUUAUACACAUGAUUAACAUUUUCAAAUAUAUGAUUAACUUAAAAAAUGUCUAUUUUUUCCAUAUGGAUUGUACAUUUUGUAAGACACAUCUGAUAAUUUUCAAAUAGAUGAUUAACUUUUUUGAAUACCUGGUCAAAAAAAUUCAAGUACGUAGUGUACACUUUCCUAAUUGUAACAUGUAUUUUUUUUGACACAGUGUACAUUUUCCUAUACAUCUGGAACCUUUUAUAUACAUGUGCAACAAUUUUUAAAUACCUAAUAAAAUUUUUGAAAAUAUACGUUUUGAUGUCUACUUUUAUUUAAUAUAUGUUGUACUUUUUUAUAGACACGAGGAAGAUUUUAAUAUAUAUUUAACAUUUUUAAAAUGCAUCAACGAUAUUUUUCGUACAAAUUGUUUUUACAUGACAAACAUUUUUUCUAUACACAUUUAACAUUUACCAAAUACUUGAUUAACAUUUUUAAAUGUGUGAUCAACUUUUUUCAUACACAUUGCAUAUUUCUGUAUACAUUUUAUGUAUAAAUAAGAAACAAUUUUUCUAUACACAAUUAACCUUAUUAAAAUGCUUGAUUAAUUUUUUUUCAAAUGUUUUAUGUAAAGUUUUUUUGUCAUUUUUUUGAAUAUUUGGAAGCAUAAACAAAAGUACAAAAACAAAAAGUGAAAAACAAGGGGAAACAAGGAUGUGACAUGUGGCGUCCUUCACACUGGGCGACCAAUUUAGAAGGCGCAUGAGACGAGCGCAUGGUAAGUCUGGCUAUAAGCGAGACAUAAGCCUGCCCUCGGUACAAGCGAGGCAUAGUCCAUGCGCGACCCGUGUUCCUUCUUUGCUCGUCCUCUGCCUUAUCCACUGAAGAUAUAUUUNNNNNNNNNNNNNNNNNNNNNNNNNNNNNNNNNNNNNNNNNNNNNNNNNNNNNNNNNNNNNNNNNNNNNNNNNNNNNNNNNNNNNNNNNNNNNNNNNNNNNNNNNNNNNNNNNNNNNNNNNNNNNNNNNNNNNNNNNNNNNNNNNNNNNNNNNNNNNNNNNNNNNNNNNNNNNNNNNNNNNNNNNNNNNNNNNNNNNNNNNNNNNNNNNAGUAACAACCCAACCACAAUUGUCGACUGGCCAUAGAGCACUAAAUGGGUCAGGGUUGUCGGACGCGUGUGUGGCAGUUUCUGGAUGCCCGCAAAGCCCCCGCCCCUCGGUUUGUAGGAAAAGCAACGUCCGAACCGGCUAGUGAACUGAUAUAAGACCACAUUGGAUGGCAAAACACGUCUAGACCACGCGGUACAGACAGAUGGGGGCGGUUUGAGGGGUCGUGUUGAUGACGCCAUAACCCUUAACUCGUGAUUUCGGCUUUCCUAGCGUUAGGGCUAUACGUCGCCCCCGCCCGUACCAAUUCCUAAUAGAAUCGCCUACUGGCGCCGCCUAGCAAGCCAACUGGUUGGCGUGGUUGCUUCGUUGCCGCUCAUAUCGCACGUAGCUUCAUUCUAUGGUCCUUUUUUUUUGCGAAUUUUUUAUUUGCUUUUGUGUAUUUUCACCAGUUUUCUUUUUCUUCAUUUACUUUAUUUUCCUAUUGGUUUUUUCUAUCUUCUUUAUACGCUGUUUUUUUUGUUUUUUUGUUGUUGUUUUUUCGUUUUAUUUGUUUUUUUAUUUUGUUUCUUUGUCGGUUAUUAUCAGCUUCCUUUCUUUCAACACAUAUUUACAUUUUCCUUGGUACACAAUGUACAUUUUAAGAGCACACGUGAUAUUAUUGUCUGAUACACGGAUAUUUUUCAAAUGCAUGAUGUACAUUUUCUGAAAAUACAUGUUUUGAACACUUCUUUGAAUACAUGAUCACAUUUUAACAAAUACAAAUUGUACUUUUUUAAAUGGCGAUAAACAUUUUUUUAACUACGCAAACAUUGUUUUAUCAUUGUAUAUAUAUUUUUGAAAAUUUGACGAUUUUUUUGGAAACAUGUGAAUGUAACAAAAUUUCAUGAUAGAUUUUAAUGGAUUUUAACCUGCGCGUCCUAUUUUUUUCAUUUCUAUAUAACAAAUUUUAAAAUAUCAUGAACAUUGUUUUGAAAUGCGGGAAUAUUUCCAUCAAAUGUGACACUUUUUUAAUGGAACAAAACUCUUUUUUACAUUAUGCAAACAUUUGUUUUACAUUGUACACACAUUGUUUUAUAAAUAUAGCAUAUGUUUUUUUACAAAUAUAGCAUAAAUAUAGCGAAAAGAGAAAAAAGUCGGGUGACCAACGACGUACUGGGCCGAGCCACCACUGACGCUCUGUAGGCGAGGUGGCUAUGCGCCUCGCAGUUGGGGGCACAUAGCUACAACCGUUUUCCAAGUUCAACAUUUUUUUAACACUUAAAAACUAUUUUUUAUUUACCCCUCAAAAAAACUUGUUUUAUUAAGAAUCUCCUAGUUCAAUAUUUUUUUUUGAGAAACACCUGUAAUUUUAUUCACACUCAUAACAAUUACAGGUACAGUGAUUUGGACCAAAGAUCCAAGAAAAUACAAAGUAACUUCUAUAACUAAGAAUUACAACAAAAUCUCUUGGGAACACCUUCUUCGCAGUAUUCAUCUCUGCUAGAAGAAAUUCUCCAAAGAUUUUGGUAAAAGGGCUGCAAUUGGACUGGAGCAACGAUGUUGUCCUGUUUCACCUGAACGAACAUUAUCAAUAAUGGUUUUUGAAAGCGCCUUGAGUCGCCCAUACAAAAAGAUGGGAAGCCUUAAUCGAUGAACAUAUGAAGAUCACUAGACGCUGAGGAAGAUCACGAACCCUAAAAAGUUGGAGUAGCUUUUCUGCAUUCUUGUGAGGCCACGUGAACAGGCCUGGUUCAAUAAUUUAGUGUUGAGAUUGUGUCAGCAUCCAUGGGCCGAAGAGCGUGAGAGUGCAAAGAACGCAGAAAAAGAAGCAGAUUCUAGCCCAUUUCAAGCUUGCCACUGCUCAAUUAUUUUCUCCUUUUUAUAGGUAGAAAUACCAAAUCCUUGUGCGAGUAAUAUCCGUGAGUGAGUGAAAUCCAGCCAUGCCAUUACCUGACUGUUGUUGCUAAACUAUAUCAUUCCCCGACGAAAACUGUUCCAUGCUCACCGCCAUUUCAAUUCUAUUAGGUUAAACAAGAGAUAUUUCUUUUGAAGGCAGGUUUAACAAGCUACAGCUCUGAAGCCAGGCCACAGCAAUAGUCUGAAAGCAAAGGCCGACGGAGCUAACAAGCAACAGGAGUCAAAGGCCAACCACCAGUAGUACGCUACGAUGGAAACGAUGCUCCUCGCCGACGGAGCAGGGCGCCAGAAAUUCAGGAUCACGCCCAAGACAUGGGGCCAUAAAUACACCCCAAUUCAUCCACAGCGACUGUGGCGAUUCCACAACCGAAAGUGCUGGGCGGACGACACGCCAUGCACGACAGUGGAACGACGCCGAAUCCAGCCGUCGACUGCACUUCAUUCACGUGCAUGGACGGACUGAUAUAUAUGAUCGUUCGCAAAUCGUUCGCACACCAUCGUGUGCAUAGCCAUAACAUUUUCCACACAGAGGAUUAGAGAUGAUGAUCUAAUAUAUUGCUACCACUAUUUUGCUUCAUGGUUCCAGACGAACAAUCUCUUCAGAGUUCUGAUGAACAGACAAUUAGACGAAAGGAUCAUGGAGAUUAAACAGGGGGUGAAGAAUAAGAAGGGAAACGGGCACUAAAUUAGCUGCUUGCUGAGCAUUGCCAGUUAGAAGAACCGCCGUUGCUACCUAGGUGCGGCUUCUCUGCCUCGAGCACAAGUCAAAAAAUGAAUCCAUCCUGCUUCUGCCUCUACUCUGAAUCGCUCUCCAUGCACAGCGCCUUCAGUCCCCUCGCCCUCUGCUGAUUGAAUUUGCGAGAUAUCAGUAACACAUCGAUAAAUGUAGAUGGAACUAACAGCUCGUGUAUGUUACUUGUUUGCAAUCAAAGGGAAAUGAGGAGAUCUGGGGUACCUUUUUGGAGCUCUUCUUCUCUCUAACUUCAUACCUCUCGUGCGACAAAUCUGACAGCCAUGCUCCUGGGCACACCGUCUAUGGUCAUACACAACAACGACCAAUGAAACAUUAGGGUUAGGAAAUGAGCAUCAACACAUCUUUGAAAGAAAGGAACUUGACAGUUUAUUUUCUGAGAAGAAAGGGAACAUUACAAGCAAGCACUUCUGCAUCAGCUUGGGCCUCUUCUUCGGCCUCUGAGGGAGCUUGCAGCCCUUCAUUGCCAAGAAGUCCUCCUCUUUCUCCUUGUUCGACAGUGAGAUGAAGAACCUCGGCAGAGCAGCGGUGCCCUUCUCUUCCACCCCACCGCUGAAAUCGAACCCAUUCCCCUCAAAGGGAAAUGUGGAACCCCUGGUGGAGUAGUACCGGUCCUUCUCUGGUGAGAGGGAUAUGGACUGCCUGGCCUCACUCGCCUGUGCCUCGGAUUUCCUGCUCGCAAGCAAAUACCAGGGUCAGACAUUUCUUGACAUUUUGCACGGCCAAGGGUCAAAGGAAAAUGGUCUACGGAUGCAAUACUGAAAUUACCUCCGGUGAAGAGUGCUUGGGCGGCGUGGUGAACGAAACUGUGAGACAUCGCCUCCCAGAAGGGGGCGAUUCACCCGGGGUAUGGUGCGCCUGAGCGCAUCCGACCGGGCCGGCGACGGCGAGCCGUCUUCCCGGGACUUGACGCAUCGGAGCCGCUUCCGGCUGCCCCAUUGCAGGAACAGGUUUGGCUCGCCGGAGGGCUUUGACUCCUUGACCUCCUGGUCCAUCUAUAUCCUGAAAAACGGCAAAGCCGUCAGCAUGUAAAUAAACCCUAAUAAACUGCAGAUCGGGAUGAACUUUGUCAAACAGAGUUAGCGGCAGAGGAGAUAAGCAAGCUGUAGAUCCAACGACUUCGGAUAAACCGCUAAUCUUCCGUUGCAAAGUAGCAAGUGCUUCAAGGAUUGUUUGGCGUAUCCAUCAGAUCCAGCCCAACAGAUGCAUCAGAUCGGACAUGGCCUCGUGAAGAACAGAGAAGGAGCUCAGGGAAGGCAGAGUGAGGGAGAUGGGAAAGAGGUGGGCUUCUGGCGGUUCACCUUCUCGCUGCCUGCUGGAGACGGCGGUGGAGCUCAGGAGCCGGGCUCCUGGCGGCUGAGGAAGCAGAGGGUUGGUGAAGUUCGGCGGGGAGGCGGCGUGCAGGUUGGAGCUCCUGGCGGCGGUUGAGGUAGCAGAUAAGGUUCCCGGCGGCGAGGACGAGGAGGAAGUUCCCGACGCAGGCGGCGAGGAGGUCGGCGCAGAAGACGGAGCAGCGCGGCGCUGGACGGCGGACGGCGUGGUGGCGCUCGACGGUGUACGGCAGGCGGACGCAGGAAGAGUCGCGGCAGAUCUCGACGGUCGACGAGGCGCUACGGCGAGAAGGGGCGUCGGCGGAGGUGAAGAGGGGCUCGGCGGAGGGCGGAGCGGCGGCAAGAAUGGAGGUGGGCGGUGGCGGCGGAGGCGAGAGAGGUUGGGCGCUGGGGUGGAAUUUUUGGGGAGAGGUGGCUGGGAAGUUGGGGGGGAGAAUGGGAGUGGGGGUCAGCGUGAAGAUGGAGGCGCUGCGCUGCGGCCUGCGGAGCGCGGGGUAGCCGGGCGGGGUGGGAAACCCCAAAGAUAUCAUCCACUCCUACCACUGCUGCCAUGACUUUGGUGGGUUACAGAAGUUGCGAGAUUUUUCAAACUAAAAUCAUAAGGUUUGCAAGGGUUUUAAAUUUUGUAACCAAAUUUAUUCUUCUUUUUUGCGGCUACCAAAUUUAUUCACACCAUGAAAAAAAACCAGAGUGCUGAAUUGUGCAAUCUUUGAAAUAAUAUUCUCAACCGAUAGUUUUCCGUUCCCCGUCAUUCCCCGUCCAUCUCAUUCCUCACAUCCACGAUCGCGUCUCCCAUCUCCAAUCCCCCACGCCACACACAUUCUCUUUUUUUCUUGAAGAUCAGCACCGCUUCACCUUCCAUAGGCGUGCAGGCUCCCUGCGAUGGUGUUGUCCCUCCCGCCUCCUUGGGCAUGAAGCCCUGUGUGCGCGCAGUCGCGUUGCUCAAUCUGGGCUAGAGUAGCGCUAGUGCUUCAACGGUUGCCAUUCGAAGCUGCUAGCAAGCCACCGUGGCCGCGCUAGUGUUGCACGAAGCUCCCGCUGGUGAGCCACCGCGGACGCCCGCUACUGCAGGUGAACCACCGCGGCACACGCCAGUGCUGGAAGGCACAUCGCUGGGUUGCACGGCGACACGCACUACUGCGCGCCGGAGAUGUUUUUGCAAUAAGGGUCAUAUUGCAAUGAGGGUUCUCAAUAUGGGUCUUGUUGCAAUGGCGACGGGCACGCCCGCGAGCCGAAGAUGCUUUGCAACAAAGGUCCUGGUGCAAUGAAGGUUUGUGGGUCUUGUUGCAAUAGCAAUGGACACGACCGCUAACCAAAGGUGCCUUUCACAAGAAGAGUCGUGUUGCAACAAAGGUUUGCAGCAUAGAUCAUGCUGCAAUGAGGUGAGCAUAUAAGAGGAACAAUCAGACAGUGAGCAUCAUACCAUAGGAUGGCUUGCUAGCCGGCUGAUCCUUGAUGAUUAUUAUCCGGAUGACGCAUAUCGCGUCCCAUUUUUCUAGUACUUUUAGCAAGGAAGCACAAAUCCCUAAGAAAAUCAGUUGGGACAAAUAGCAUACUAUCGGUACUGAUGUAAACAAAUAAACGAAAACAAAGAAAGAAGAAAAAUCAAUGAAAACCGAUAAAGAAACGAAGAAAACCUAUAAAAAACAAAGAAAAAAGAAAUACCGUGGAAACCUAGAGAAAAACUAGUGCAAGAAACAGAACAAGAAACAAAGUAAGAAACAAAAAAGGCAAAGUAUAAUGAAGAAAAAUGAAAAAUCAAGGAAAAGCGAAAAAUAAAUUUAAAAUAGAUGAAAAAACCAAAGAAAGUAAAAAAGAAAAAGAAAAAAAAACGAAACAACCAGCGUUAACAAACGAACGAACCAGAACACACUUUAUACUGGGUGAGGGUAAGGCUGCAAAAAAAGCUCGAGGCUCGUGAGCCACUCGAGAUCGACUUGUCUUUUGGCUCGACUCAAGAUCGACUCGAAACGAAACGAGCUGAGUACGAACACUUUAUGUAGCUCGAUUGAGAAACGAGCCGAUCUUGAGCUAAUACUGGCUCGCUUGAUUUUAGUUCAAUAUCUCGAGAUAAUAUAACUAUGAUAAAUGAUCAUGAUAUAUAUCAAAUGGAAAUAAGAUAAUUUAUUACCAUAUAUGUUGUGUACAAUUAUUCUCCACUUUAUUUACCUUUAAAUUGUGAUCAGCUAUGCAUAAAUACAUAUCAUGUGUUUUUGGCAAAAGUUUCCAAGCAUAUGCACUUUCGAUUUCCUGUCUUUCGUCCACAAUGAGCUCUCCCUAGCAUGACAAGACGGCCGUACCAUCGAUUAAACAAAGUUUUUUUUUUCUCAAUUUCACAUCAUCUAGUUGAUACUAUAGUUUAUAAGUAAAUGAAUGAUAUCUAAAUACAUAUGUUGUUCCCUUUCUAGAUCUGAGUUAUAGUUAGACUGUUCGCGUGUAAAAUACUCUUGGACUGGGUGCAAGUUGUAUCUACGAAAUUAUUUGUUAGUUUUAAUCUAAAUAUUUUUUUGGUUUAGCGAUUAACAUAGAUCAAGGUGAGCUCCUUUCAACACAAUUUUUUAAGCCAUAAUGUCAUAUUUGGGAUGAUAAACCUAUGUCAGCAGUUUAGUGCAUCCUCUGCAUGUGAUUCAGAUUACUAAGAAGAUUUUUUCAUGGAUUUUUGGUCUUACAUGUGUCACUUUGAAAAUGUUUUCUUGUAGAUUUAGAAUAGUAUUUUCACAAACAACAUCAUCAAUAAUACUUUUCAUCUUAAUAAUCUCGGAUCCUUUGUUCAAAUUUAUAUUAUCAUCGUCUUGAUUGAAAUAAUAUUUUUCUAGUGCUUUCUUAUCUCGUGUUGUGCCUUAUCUAGUUGAAAUAAUCCCCUUAGAUUUUUCUACCGUCUUGUUUAGCUUGAAACUAACUCGACAUUGACUCGAAAUCGUUACAAACUGAGCAGGAGUUAUGUUUUACAGCUCGACCUUGAGCUUCCGUCAGUUUGCGGUCGCUCGAAUUUUAAUAUGAGUUGAGCUGAGCCAAGUUUAACUCGGUCGAACUCGACUCGUUUGUAGCCCUAGGUGAGGGGAGCUAUCAUCUCGCUCAUAACGAGAUAUAGCCCCUGCGGCGACCUAGAGAAGACGUAAGGAAGCCUUGCUGAAGGCGAGAGCGACUUGGACCAGGCGCGCGGAGGCGGAAACGUCGGAUUCUGUUUCUAAAAAAAAAUUGCUUUCUUUUUUUUCUAAUUUUCUACCAAACAUUAUAAAUAAAAUAUAUUAAAAAACACUUUAAAUAAAACAUUGAAGAAAACUUUUGACCAAUCAUUUGAAAACUAUUAAACAUGUAUAGAGAAAUCGUUUCUCAUGUAUACGAAAAAAAUGUACAAUGUGUGUGAAAAAAAUUGAUAAUUUAUUAAAAAAAUGUUAAUCACGCAUUUCAUAAAAAAAUUAAACAAGUAUUUUAAAAUGUUAAUCAAUCAUUUAAAAUGUUAAUCACGCAUUUCAUAAAAAAUUUAAUCAAGUAUAUAAAAAACAUGUUGACCUUGUAUUAAAAAAAUGUAAAUUUUGUAUUAAGAAAUGUUAACUAAGCACUUAGAAAAUAUUAAACGUGUAUAGGAAAAUGUUAACCAUGUAUUAAAAAAUGUUAAUGUUGUACUUGCAAGAUGUUUAACAUGUGUUAGAUAUAUACCAAAGAUGUACAAUGUGCAUAAGAAACAUUGACAUAAAAAUAAGUUUUCAAAAAAAUGUUAAUCAUAUAUUUGGAAAAUGUUAAAUGUUUAUAUAAAAUACGUUUCUGAUGUAUAAGUAAAAUGUUGAAUGUGUACUGAAAAAGUUAAGACCUGUUGAACAAAAAAAGAAACCGAUGAAAAUCAUUAAAAAGAUAAAGAAAAGAAAGAAAACCAAUAAAAAAAGAAAGGAAACAAACACAAAAGAAUGAAAAACGAUGAAAACCAAGAAAAAAGAAAGAGAGAAAAGCAAAAAACCAAUUAAAAAGGAAAAGAAACAGAUAAAAAUGAAGAAAACAUGAAAAACGGUGCAAUCCGAGAAAGAAUCGAAGAAAACCAAUGAAAAAGAAAAGAAAACGAAAAAAAACAAAACUGUAUAUGAACCAAAGAAAACAAAUAAAAAAUAAAAAAUUCAGAGAAAACGGAGAAGAAACAAAAACCGAGAAAAAGGAUUUAAAGUAGCGAAGCGAUCGCUCGGGAGCGACCGUCGCGUGUCAGCGAGCGAAAAUAAGAAGGCAAACGGGCUGGCCCAGUUCUCUGCAAGAUGAAGCUUUUCUUCGGCGGAGAAGCUAUGGUCUCGUUAUAAGCGGGACAUAGCUCUUGCGCAAAAAAGGAGCCCAUGUAAGCGACAUAUAGCUCCAGCGGGAGAUAUUGUCAUAUCCCAUUUACGUGUUUGGGUCUUUUUUUUCCUUUCGUUCUUUUAAUUUAAAUUUUUGUGGUCUUACUAUUGGUACUUUUCAUUCAUUUCUCUAUUUAAUUUCUUUUCGUUUUCCAUUUUAUUUUAUUUUCUCGUUUCUAUUUUUAUUUUUACGUUCUUCUAUUUUUCAAUUUGAUUUGGAAAAAUGCAUUUUUAGUAAAAUUUAAUUUAUAUGAAUUCUAAUAUCCAUGAAAAGUAUUAUUAAAAUAUAUGGACUUUUUUUUAAAAUACAUGAAAAUUGAUUUCAGAUACCUGAACAUCUAUUAAUGUGAGAUGAACAUUUUCUUUUCUGCAUACACACAUUUAUAUUUAGCUACAUGGUCAUAAUAUCCUAUUGCAAUGUAUACAUUUAAAAUUUAUAUUUCAAAAUUUUAUUAUAAAUAAAUGUAUAUUAAGGGACGACCCAUAUCAAAGUACCUUAGGCGGAGCCGGCCCCCCUAUUGCACAUUAAGAGUGGUAGAGCUCCCGAUCGAUGUAGCUCCUAAGUCGUGUCUAGGAAGCAUCGUUGACUUCCCUUCAUCUUGGCUGAUGGCAACCACAGCAGAAGAUAUUUUAAAUUGUAGUAGUAGCAGCAACAACAACAGCAACACCACCAUCAAUAAUAAUAUAUUAAAGAGAUAAAAGUNNNNNNNNNNNNNNNNNNNNNNNNNNNNNNNNNNNNNNNNNNNNNNNNNNNNNNNNNNNNNNNNNNNNNNNNNNNNNNNNNNNNNNNNNNNNNNNNNNNNNNNNNNNNNNNNNNNNNNNNNNNNNNNNNNNNNNNNNNNNNNNNNNNNNNNNNNNNNNNNNNNNNNNNNNNNNNNNNNNNNNNNNNNNNNNNNNNNNNNNNNNNNNNNNNNNNNNNNNNNNNNUUAUAUGUUAUUUUUUUUGUUUGCUGAAAAGACUCCAUUUGAUAGAAAGUACAGAGCAUGCAUGUAAUACAAUCGUUGAACUGAUAAAAGAGCGAUGCUAACUACUCGAGGACAAACCACUCAUAGAUCUACCACACACUCUACCUUAUAUUUCACCUAAGUUACAUAUUUUCACGCUAGCAAAACUUACAUGCUUUUUCUAGACAUGUUUUAUACCACCCUAUGGACAAAUAUUAAAGCUGACAAGGGCACAUAUAAAUAUAAUAUGAUACAUCGUAACACAAUUAACAUGGGCAGAAGCUUUUGUUUUGUAUUAUUUUUAUUACACCAAAUGUUUUUAAAGGUUAGUGUCACAAAACUAAAUUAAGAAAGAAUAAUAACAUAAACUCGACCAAAUAAUAUGAUUAAAAUUUAUCAUAAGCAUAUUGAUAAUGAUAGAGUUAAGACUAAUUAAAAAUUUCUGUCUUCUGAUACUUAACAUCAGUUUUAUAUGAUUAACUCUACCAAGUAUAACAUACAACAUACCAAUUGGCAUCUUAUAUUGGAAAACGAAAUUGCACAAAGCUAAAAAAAUUAAUAUAAAAAGUGAUGAUAUGUAGCUUACCUCAGAUCCAAAAAUAGGUGGGAUAAACAAUAAUACGUGGUAAUUUGUAAUAAUAUUGCUACUUAGUCAUUUGAUUUUUUUAAGAUUCAAAUGAUAAAUCAAUUUAAUUUUUACUACCAAUGAACGUAGAAUCCGCUCCGAAAAUAUCCUACAUAUUUCUUUUACCUCAUAUAUCCUAUGUAUUCAGCCUAAAAAAUAUGAGAGAAAUCAACUAUAGAUGGCAAUUUGCUUUAGAACUUACCAACAUAUUCGAAUCAUCUCUAUUCAAUCUACUGCUCCAAAUUUCCAAUCUAAUUUUUUGCCGCACAUAGUCGCCGAUGAUGCUUCUAAUCAGCCAACCAUAGCUAGGAAUGUUGGUUAUUCUGUGCCUUCAGUAGUCUAUUGAUGACGGUGAUGAAGAUUAAAAAGAGCGAACUAUUGAGUUGCACUAAAAAUCUUAGUGACAAUUAAUUUAAGCUCCAAUAGUUUCUUUCUGUUAAGUUAACAUAUGGAUAGUUUCUAUUUUCAUUCUUUGCCUUUUGCUUCUUCCUCUGAAUAUUGGCCAUUUUUUCCUCAAAGUUGUAUCAGAUAUAUUUACUCAAAAUUCAUUUCUAUGCUAAAUAUCAAAAUCCUCUUUAUAUAAAUGUACUACUGAACCUAAAAACUAUCGACAUUAAUACUAUUGAACACAGGAAGAACAUAGUAGGCACACUAGGGCCUAUGGCGCACCCGGACCUUAUGAAAAUUUCUAAGAAUAAUAGUAUAUAGAUACAUUGUUUGUGACAUAGAGCCGGAAUGAUUUGAAAACUCGAGAUAAAAGAAAAUGUCAUCUUUUCAACCGACCUACUAUUAAGAAGUGAGCUACUUGAUUAGGGGAGUGGAUGUACAAUCCAACCACCUAGGUUCAAGUCCUCACGAACGUGCGUUUGAGUUCCUAUUAUUAAGAAGAAAAAACAUUGUAGGGGUCUUCCUUACCGCUUCCCUUAAAAAAUAAACCAACUGUGUGCUUACCAAAAGACGUGAAGGUUUGGCCAUUAUGGAUAUGAGAACAAUGUCUUAGAGUUUAGUAUGCAAGUGAUCAGGGAAAUUAGAAACUACAUAUGGAAUACAAAAACAACUAUAGGUGUUACAGACAUAAUAGUUGUAGCCGUGGCUAGUUUAUUUUGUCAAAUUUUUACUUUUGCUUUUAGUUGUUGUAGAGAACCAUGCUGUGGUUUCUUUGAUAGAAAUUGUUAAGAGGCUCACUGUUUCAAUUUCCUUAAAGAAAGUCGAUGAGAUACCCAAUGCUUUUUUCAGAAAAAAACGUGGCACCAUUAUAGUUAGAGAAGUGACAUCGAAGGUGUAUUUUUCCGGAUCCUGAUGUGCCACUAGCUUAAACAAAGUGAACGCUCCAGGUAUCGACAGAUGAUGAACCGUGGUGAGUGAUCCGAAUAUCGUUGUGUGGCCGUUGCACGCCACCAUCUAGUUAUCCUAAUAAGAACUAUGUUUUUCCCUCUUUGAUGAUAAGAGACUCAUUGUUGAGAGCACCAAUUCCAAGCGCAGGAUCAUCUACACCCAUUCAUGGACAGUAAAUUCAAGGAAAAUAGUAAAAAUAUUCGAAAAAAUCUGAAAAUUUUAGGUGCUCAAUAUGCUCAGGUGAGCUAGCUGAGUGCAAAUUUUGUGGUCAAAUAACAUUCGUGGAGCUCGUGGCAAAAAAAUUGAUUGCCAAAGAAACUUAAAGAAACACGGUGUAUAUUCGAUUUUUUUCUUCCCAUGAGCUUCUCGAAUGUCAUUUUACCCCAAAAAUUUGCACGCUGAACCUGAAAUCAACUCUGGAUUACCGCUCAUCGUUUCAGUUCCUUUAUGCCUCCUUUGUUCAUAGGAUAGAAAUAUCACAAGAAUAGAAAAAUCAUAGGAAGUGAGAUGACAUGUAUCUCAAUUCCUAUAGGGAAAGAGAUAUCGUUUGAUGCAUGGGAUAUGAAUUUUCCACUGAGUCUACGAUAAUGUCUUUUUUCCUUUUAAAUGUGAAGGAUUGGUCCCUCUCCUACAUAUGAAUAAGGAUUCAUUCCUACAAACAAAAGGGCUCCAAGGAUUUUUUUUCUUACAAAAUUCCUAUACUUCAAAAUUCCUACAAAAUUCCUACGAACCAAAGGAGGCUCCUUCUUUGGUUCAUAGGGUAGAAAAAUCAUAGAAAUAGGAAAAUCAUAGGAAAUGGGAUGACUUGUAUUUCAAAUCCUAUGAGUAGGGAUAGAAAAAGAUAUGCCCUUUGGUUCACAUCAUUGGAUUUUUUUUCCAUUAAGCCUAGGCUAAUGUUUAUUUUCCCAUGAAAUGUAGAGGAUAGGUAGAAUUCUUCCAUACAAAUAGGAUUCUAUCAUACAAACCAAAAGACACUAAAGGAAUUUUUCCUAUAGAAUUCCUAUACAAUACCUCCAAACCAAAGGAGGCCUUAAUGUAUAUAUCAACGAGAGACCUAUUGUGACACUGUUAUAUUCAGAAAUUUGACAUGUUAUAUUCAGAAACUUGCGAAUUGAGCCUAUCUCAGAUGGUUAGUUUCUUUGUGGUGGAACCAUCCCACCAGGGUUCAAGUCCUAGACUUGACAUUGGUGUUCGCAUUCUUCUGGAUUUAUUCCAGACUUUCCAACGAUACUCGUUCAACGAGAGGAUACAUUUCCGUGGACUAUGGAGGCGCCUAUCUGAUUUCGUCACUCUCAAGAUGAUGUGCCUACUCAGUCUCUACGAGGUGCUCAUAGGGGUAGGAUGUGCAUACGUGCGUUCAUAUGAGUGAGUGUAUGUACGUAUGUAUGAACAUUUGCGUCUGUACUAUGUUAAAAAGGACCCCGAUAACGCCCAAACGUUAUUUUUUUGACAAUGACAAAUCAAACAUUUUUAUGGCAAUUUUAAUAACGUGAGGAUGCCAAGUUUAAUUGGCAAGCAUGGCAAAUUCAUGCUUAGUGUAUUUUUUUGCCAGGAAAUUGUUGUGCAUGUCUAACUAAACUUGCCAACCUCGCAUCACUAAAAUUGUCAUUAAAAACGUUUGAUUUGCCCUGAUCAAAUACCGCGGGUGUAUUUUUCUUGCUUCGCCCGUCGCCCCGUGAACGUAAAUGGAACAUACCCGUGGACUCGUGGAGAGUGAUCCGAACAUCGAUCGUCGCGUGGCCGCUGCAUGCCAUGUCAUUGGCAUCCGGGACCCGGCCGUGCAUCUGCUUUGCAUGUGUGUGUGGUGGCGGUGCGGAGAGCCCGGCCGUAUCAAAAUCGGCAUUCCCCAUUGGCCGGCCUCAUAUCGCCAUAUCACCUUAUCCACUCCCCCCACCCCCUCCACCCAAGCCCCCGUACCUCUUAGCUCAGCCAUCUCUCCUACUCAUCACCCACCAGACACCACUCCAUCUCCCGCGCGCGCGUGUGGCCUCCGCUCCUCUCCCCAUCUCCUCUCUCGCCAAGGACCACCGAGCUUGGAGCGCCACCGCCAUGGCCAUGGCCACGCAAGCCUCGGCGGCGACGCGCCACCUGAUCACCGCGGCCUGGUCGCCAUCCGCCAAGCCCCGCCCCGCCACCCUCGGCAUGCCCUCCGCCCGUGGCCCGGCCCCGCUCUGCGCCGCGGCCCCGGACACCCCCGCCCCCGCCGCGCCGCCGGCGGAGCCCGCCCCCGCGGGCUUCGUGCCGCCGCAGCUGGACCCGUCCACCCCGUCCCCGAUCUUCGGCGGCAGCACGGGCGGCCUCCUCCGCAAGGCCCAGGUCGAGGAGUUCUACGUCAUCACCUGGACCUCCCCCAAGGAGCAGGUGUUCGAGAUGCCCACCGGCGGCGCCGCCAUCAUGCGCGAGGGCCCCAACCUCCUCAAGCUCGCCCGCAAGGAGCAGUGCCUCGCCCUCGGCAACCGCCUCCGCUCCAAGUACAAGAUCGCCUACCAGUUCUACCGCGUCUUCCCCAACGGCGAGGUGCAGUACCUCCACCCCAAGGACGGCGUCUACCCGGAGAAGGUCAACGCCGGCAGGCAGGGCGUGGGGCAGAACUUCCGCAGCAUCGGCAAGAACGUCAGCCCCAUCGAGGUCAAGUUCACCGGCAAGAACUCCUUCGACAUCUAAUCUCGUACGUCGUAUAUGCGUACGUGCUAGUUCAUCGACCGGUAGUUAUUGGCGGGUGGCGAUGAUGAUGGACGUCCUGUAAUUUUAAUUGUCGAGUUUGAAUGAUGGAUUCGAUCGGUGAUAAUGAUGCAUCAGGUUAUAUGUACAUGGUAAUUUGAUGAUGAUACUGCUGUAUGUUAACGUUGUUCAUAUGCAUGAUCGGCUUCUUUUUAUGUUGAUGAUGAGUAGUAUUUUGUUUGUUACACGCGUACACGCUUUUUUGUCGUUUUGGCCAGAGAUGAAGCAUACGAUGUUUAAACCAUUCAACCUAGCACAUAAGCACGGUAACCCGUGUGGGCAACGCCUUCUCUACGUAUUGUUUUUGUGAAAGUAAUUACUGAAGAUAAGAUUUAUGCUAAAUCAGUU
rnacentral:lncRNA from 1 species